rnacentral:lncRNA from 1 species
AUUUUUCAUGAUUUUUUUUUUUUCAUGUAGUAACAAACGACAAACGCCUUAAUAGUUAAUACUCUAAAACUUUAAAUUUAAAAUCUCCAAGUUUGACCUACUGUCCUUAGAGUAAGUGGCAAAAGAUUUGAUAAUUGAUAUUCGAGAUCCUAAGUUCGAAUCCUAGUUGAUUCAUAUUUCUUGCUAAGUUUAUUUUCUAAAUAAAAUAAACGAAGCGGGUAGCGUGCUAUCUAUCUCUCUCUUAAAAAAAAAGUAUCUCCAAGUCUGAAUUUUCGUAUUUAAGAGAUCCUGAUUUAUAGAUCGUGCGUAAAAUUAGAGAAAUGGAGGAUGAAGAAUUAUUGCAUGUAUCGAGUAAUGUUAUUCAUAUACUUACAAAUUGGUGUAAAUUCUACACUGUCUAAUUGGUGGAUUUCUCAUCAAUCACCUUGAUGUCAUUGAUGAAAAGAUUCCACCUAUUAAAUAGGUGGGGUACAAAGUAUACGCCUUACAUGGGGUGCAUAUAUAGGUAGUAUCAAGAAAUUAAGUGCCGUCGCACGGGUUGUGCCAGAAACUUGCCAACACGAUACGUGUCGAGCCGUACCGAUCAAAAAAGUACUUUUGUGCCGACAUAUAAUAGCAUGAAAUAUUUAUUUUCUUUAGCAACAAAAUAUUCUAACUAUUUAUUAUAUCUUUUUAUUACAUCUUUUGAACUUUAUUGAGGAAAUUACUUAUUAAUUUAAAGAAUAGAGGGUUUUGAGUUGUGCCAUUGGUACGGGAUCGAUGUAUACGGCCCGUGCCGACGAAUAUCUUAAAACCUUAUAUAUUCUGAUGCAUGAAUACGUGAAUUUAUACGAGCUGAAGCCAAAAAAAAAAAAAACAAAACAAAGACAAGAAAAUCUAGAGGGGUCAGAGUGGGUUAUGUGCAUGUCACUGUUGAACGAAACGUGGAAACAGUAAGCGGGCGAAGGGCCUCUUCUGAAUAGUAUGGAUCAGUAGCAAAACUCCUUUCUAAGAUUUUAUGCGACUCACCGUCCCUAGGAGAUUUAAUGAUUGAUAUGUGAGAUCUAAAACUCAAAAUCUAAUUAUUUCAUAUUAUUAGUUGAAUUUUUUUUAAAAAAAAAUUAAUGAAGUGGAUAGCAUGCUGUACGUCUAUCUCUCUAAAAAAAAAUCUAUGCCACUCGAUCUCUGUAAAACUUUUCUUUCCACUAAAAUUGUUAAUGCUAAAUUACACUUUUGAUCAUUAAAUUAUGAGCUGUGUGACAUUUUGAUUCUCAAACUUUGAUUUAUUAUAAUAUUUUAGAUGAAUUUUUUAAAGUGUAAUCGAUGAGACGACAAUAAUUAGAUACCAUAUUACUUGCACAUUAGCGAUACGUCAAUAUUUAAUCAACUAAAUUAAAUUGUAGAAUUUAAUUUUGACAAUCCAUUCAGAAACUAGACAAUUCUUUUGAAUUUUUAAUAUUAAAAAAAUGGAAGUGCAAUAAAACUUAAGUGAAAAUUUGGGCUUUUGGAUAAAAAGGGUAUAAGAUUUCCACGUACAAUUGGAUAUACAUGCAGCAUUGCUCAUACAAAAUUUGCUGAUUUAUUUCUACAGAAGUGUUAUUGUUAGGGUAAAAAUGUUUCAAGGAGCACUGAUAAGAUUCUACACAGAACUACUCAGAAAACUAAAAGCUCAUUUUAACUACAUACCAAGGCAAAAACUGUAACUUCUCUGCUUACUACCUGAUGACUAGUAGAUACUGUAUUUUAUAGAGAAGCAAUUCCAAAAACUAUGUUAUAAAACCGGUUUUACAAAGCCAAAAUCAGUAGCAUUAUUUAUGGGCAAAUGAUUCUUCUGGCCAUGGCAUCAUACAAGAAGAUCACACAAAAAUCAGCUAAGUCUCCCUCGUCUGACAAAUCAAAACAGAUUACAACUAUAGCAACCCUACAAGACAAGAGAAGGGCUACCAAGAAGAGAGUCCAUGGGCUCCUACAAAUAGGAAAAAGGAGACUUUGGUGCUGUGCAUUGGAUUAUCAACAGUAGCUCAAACACCACCACCAUUGGAUAAACCUAAGUUUUAGUAAUGCCAUAGCCUGAUGUUAAUAGGGAUGCAAACCGGGUGGAUCUGGGGGUGGGAGCCACGCCCCGCCUCCCGCCCCGACUAGCAAAAUCCCGCCCCGCCUCCCGCCCCGAAUCCGUGACGUGUUAAAAAAUACGUCCCAUAAUCCGCCCUGCCUUGUAAUCCGCCUCCCGCCGGCACCCCGAAUCCGCCCCGCCAACUAAUAUUUUUUAUAAAAAUUAUAAUAUUAUUAAUAUUUGGUAAAAUAUAAAUUAAUAAUUUUUAAUAAAAUUAUAUAUAUAAUUUAACAAUAUCAAUUAUAAAAAUAAAAAAAUAUCAAUCGUAAUUCAAAAUAAAAUUCAAAAGUUUCAAAUACAUUAAAAAUGAAAGUACUAAUUUAUUUCUAUUUUAAACUUUUUUGUAAAUACAUUACUUUUUAGGAAUAUUUUUUAAAAAUAUAAAUGAUUUUUAGGGCGGAUCAUGGCGGGGCGGAUUGAGGGUGGGUCAAAAUUUCUCUCGUUUCCUGCCCCGAAUCCAUCUCGGAUCGUAAAAUUUACCCCGAAUCCGUUUAUUUUCUCCCAUUUACCGCCCCGUCGAGGCGGAUCGGGGCGGGAGCUCCACCAACCCAGAUCCGUUUGCAUCCCUAAUCCCAACCAACACUAGCAAGUAUUAUGAUCUAAACACAACCAAUUAUCUAAUCACUCAUAGAGAAAACAAAUAUAAAUAUUUCAAAGUAAUCGACCGUUCCUAGAGCAAGUGCAAAGGGCUUGGUGGUUGGUACUCGAGACCUAAGUUCGAAUCCUAGUUGAUUCACAUUUCCAGGUAAGUUUAUUUCUAAAUGAAAUAAACGAAGUGGUUAGCGUGCUACCUAUCUCUCUCAAAAAAAAAAAAAGAAAUAUUUCAAAGUAAGUGCAAACCAAUCAUCCAAACAGUGAAAAUCUACUUAACCUCGCAUCAAUCCUAAUCAAUCCUAAGAUUGCUGAAAACAAAGUUAGAAUCAAAACAAAGAUAAAACCCUAGGGCUUUUCCUGGGAGGAGAUCUAGGGUUUCUCAUGACGGGGUCGGGUGAGCAGAGUCAGAAACCAGCAGCGAACAAAGUGGGAGCGGAGUAAGCUCAGAGAGAAAGAAAGGAAGGAAGAGAGAGAGAGAGAAAGAAAACAUGGCGAGUCCACGCAAAGCCAGUAAUGGAAAGGUCAGGUAAGGGGGAAGUUCAUGGGGCUCGCUAGUCGACGCGCCAUGGCGAGUAGACAACGAAGCAGUGCUGAAGAAAAAGAGAUGUGAGGACAUAGGGGAAGAGCAACGGAGUCCUCCAAGCCCUAAUCCGUGCCAACCCGACAUGAUCCGGCCCUCCUCGAUCAAGAGAGUGCUUCUAGGGUUUUUAUUUAUGUCGAUCUCUUCGGAUUUAUAGAUAAAGAAGGUAAUCGAAUGACUUUUUCAGUAGAGGAAGCUAAUUGGACAGUGAUAAUAUACGAAUCGAGGGAUAGGUUUGGGAAACAAAAACNUAGUAAUGCCAUAGCCUGAUGUUAAUAGGGAUGCAAACCGGGUGGAUCUGGGGGUGGGAGCCACGCCCCGCCUCCCGCCCCGACUAGCAAAAUCCAGCCCCGCCUCACGCUCCGAAUCCGUGACGAGUUAAAAAAUACAUCCCAUAAUUCGUCCCGCCUCAUAACCCGCCUCCCGCCGGCGCCCUGAAUCCGCCCCGCCAACUAAUAUUUUUUAUAAAAUUAUAAAAUUAUUAAUAUUUUAUAAAAUAUAAAUUAAUAAUUUUUAAUAAUAUUAUAUAUAUAAUUUAAUAAUAUUAAUUAUAAAAAUUAAAAAUAUCAAUCACAAUUCAAAACAAAAUUCAUAAGUUUCAAAUACAUUAGAAAUAAGAGUACUAUCUUAUUUGUAUUUUGAAAUUUUUUGUAAAUAUAUUAUUUUUUAAAAAUAUUUUUUUUAAAUAUAAAUAAUCUUCGGGACGGAUUCGGGGUGGAUCAUGGAGGGGCGGAUUCGGGGCGGGUCAAAAUUUCUCCCGUUUCCUGCCCCGAAUCCGUUUCGGAUCGCAAAAUUUACCCCGUUUCCUGCCCGAAUCCGUUUAUUUUAUUCUAUUUACUGCCCCCGUCGGGGUGGACCGGGGCGGGAGCUCCACCAACCCGGAUCCGUUUGCAUCCCUAGAUGUUAAUACAUCCCCUAGUGCUAAAAAAUAUUUGAUAGUCCUGGCCUAUGUGGGAAUAGGGACUUCAUGUCAGAAACAAAGCAACUAAAACCAAUUGCUUUUGUUAAAAAGUAAAAGUUAAUGAUCUUGAAGUGACAUAUAGAUGCUCAAUUUCCAAUGAACAGAGUAAUUCAAGCUGCAGAGACAAAGCAUAGAACAAAAUAUCUGACAGUAAAAUUUACAGGCAAAUUAAAAGAAUGGUAGAAACCUCGAGUAGUUUGAAGAUGAUACCGAGAGCUUCUUCGUUGAAGACGAAAAGCUAAGCGCACCAACCCCAGCAGGAAAUUGAGGUCGGUAUGCGGCCGGUUCUUCUGAUAUACUCUGCUUGCUGGGCAGUUUUUGCCGCUUCUCUGUUUCUGUUGGCCUCGGCUGCUGCGCGCUUUGCCUCGGCCUUAUGCUUUGCUGCUGCCAACUUGUUCAUAAGCCUAUCGUGAGCGUUGGCUCUCAUCCUCUCCACCUCAACCUUGAUAUUCAUGGUUAAAAACAUAAGAUUCAUGUAAACAAACAAUCAAGAGAUACAGUGAACGAGGUUAGGAACAUCUGCAAGAAUCAUAGCUUUUUUCCCAUAGCCCAUUUAUCUUUUUGAACCAUAUAGCUUAUAACAAAUCUCUAAUUUCACUAGCUGUAGCUUGGAACUUAACAAGCCAUAACUGGAUUUCUUCUUAUCAACAGUUGAAUAUCCUUUUAACUUUUUCCAAAUAAAAAAAAGCAAUUACAUCUAAAGGGCAACACAUUAAAUUUUGAAUGGAAUUGAAGCACUCCUGAUGAAACUCCGAAACCUUGUAAACGAAUCCUUUUCAUUCCCUAAAGGGCCGUUAUUUUCCUUUCAGCCAAGCUGAAUUUCAAUACUAACAAAUAUUUACAAGGAGACUAAACGACAACAAGUAAUGGAAGUUAACACAGAACUAGAAUUUUUGCAGAUUUUCAGUGGUAGAUAGUUUCUAAAGGUAAUAUUAUACCUUGCCACAAACUGCAUAAGUGAAAAUUUUCAAAGGGACAUGCCAACUACAAGAGCAACAGAAUGAGAUGAUGAAAAUGUAGAUUCCACAAAUUAUCUUUAUUCUGAAUAAGUAGCCACAGUAUUACCUCAAUUUUUCUCAUUUCAGCUUCAGUUUUCGCUUUUUGAUGAUUUUCCCAUGCUUGGAUCUUCAUUUCUUCUUGUUUAAACCUAAAAAAUAAAGAAAGAUAAUUAUUACCACAGGUUGACAUCCAUAAAGUAACCAAUAUACAGAAGUUUGAAAAGUUCAGUGUUCAUCGAUUGACUUGUUUAUUCACAGACAAAGCUAAGAUACUUGUUGUCCUUAAAGAGGGUGAAAUUAGAAGCUCUAAGCAAUAAAAGAUCAUAAUAAAGUAAGAACCUGGCCAAGUAUUUUGCUUUCUCUGCCUCCUCCCAUGCUGUCGCACGGGUUUCAAUAACUCUACUAGCAGGACCUGGUUGGUCCAUGGACAAAGUAUUGAGAGAGACAGAUGCAUCUGUUCUCUGCUCCUCUCUGCUUGCCCAUGCCGCAAUGUUGGUCUUGCCUAACUGUGUGCCAAGAAUCAUUAUUUCCCUUCUAAUCUUCAUUUGCAGUUCCUGUUCGCUUAAUUCCUUUUGGCUACAAUCACCAUGAUUCUCAGCCAGGGCAGCUGCCUCUGAAGUAGGUCGUGCUCUCCUCGGAGUUGAUGGCCGCGAAGAAUUAGGGCUUCUCGUUGGUGUUGUAGAUCUUAAAGGAGUUCCAGUCCGGGAAGGUUCUUCACUUGCAAUGGGAGUCAUCUCGGUGCCCAUAUCUCUCAUGGAUACGGAUCUGACUGUUGACGGGGGAUUUACAAAUGCUGUAGCACUUUGAAGGGAUGUAGACGAAUCAUGGCGGCUAAUAGUAACUGUGAAAGGUUAAUUGACACAGGGUUGCUCAAACUAAAGUGAUGUUUGAAUAUUUUCGCAGUAAACAAUACUAAGAGAAAAGUGAUCAAGAAUUCACUCAACGAAUAUGCAAUUACUUUAUGAUACAAGGAAUUUAUUAGCCUUUUCACAGAGGAGAAGAUAAUAAUCAAAUCCAAAGUCAACAUGUAUCCAAAAAAAGUUGACCACAGUAAUAGCAAAGCAUUUGGCAUAAGUUCUUUUUCCUAGAAGCAGAAGCAGAAGCAAGGCUGUUAGCAAACAAACCCAAAAGCUGAAGCUACAAUUUGCAGCUUUUGCUUUCAAUUGUGGCAGUUCAUGCAGGAAUUUUGAUGAAAAAGCAGCUACUACUUUUUCAAAGAAUUCAGAGCUUUAACCAUGCCAAACAGGCCUAUCUUAUCAAUAGCUCGAAUCAUCAUCACCUAUCAGCAGAAUACGAAAUGACAUUGCAUAUAUAUAUAUCAUAGUAAAAUGUGACUACGAAACCAUCGCGUUUAAUGCACAAUCAAAUGCUACUUACUCUCAGAUUCAGCAACAAUAUUCUCCAUUUCUGGAUAGGGAUCAGGCACACAACAUGAAACCUUUGCUUGGUUAUGAUCAAUCCUCUUCGUUCCUAAUUCCUCCGUAACCUCGACCACUACCUUCGUGGCCGGGAACCUGUUACCAACCCCAACCUUAUCCAUCUUCUUCGGCAUUGCGCCACCAACUUUGCCUACCCUGUUCAAAUUAGGGCUUGCAAUCCACUUCUGCGCGUCGUCCCAUUUCGACGGGGCCGGUUUCGAGAAUGGCGGCAUGAUCGUUGCUGCCGCCACCAUCGCAGCUCGAUUAGGGUUCCGAUCCUUGUGGAACUCGAAAUUGGACGCUAUGCUCUCCGAAUCGAAAGAGUCCUCGUCCUGAGAUCGAAGCCUCGGAUCUCUCGAUCUGUGAGUGAUCGAGGUCUCCAACGAAGUGGAGCUCACCAUGUCCACAUCCUUGCACUCGUCGCAAACACUACCACCUAUCGAAUCCGCAUUACAGAUUCAGAAACCGAAUCGACUUAUAGGGUGGUUUUCGCAAUGUAGAGAGAUCGAGAGGGGCGAAUGCUUACGCCUUUCAUCGGUUUCCGACACGGUGAGCUCGGAUCUGAGCGAGAACUCGGACUCCACCUCUUCCGCCUCCUUCCUCCUCUUCUCCGCUCCCAACAACAUCGCCCGAAGCUUCUUCGGCGAGAACCCUCCUCCGCCCUAAAGCAUCAAAUCACCGUAAAAAAAAACAAAAAAAAAAAAGCGAUCAAAUCGACGAGAAUCAAAUGCCACGAUUUCCAAAUCUCGAUCUACAUCGAUCCUUAAUCCUCCCCAAAAUCGCCUUUCCACAAGCAACAGGAGAUCAAAUCGAAGCAAGAGACUAGACGAUCAAGUAGCAGGCGAACGGAUCUGAGAUUACCUGGUGAGAGAAUGGCUUCUCGAUCCGUUCGUAAUCCAUGGCGAGAUCUACUGCUACUCCACCACCACGAUCCCACUUCAGAGACUGCGGUGGCGCCGCCGCCGCCGCCGCCGCCGCAGGGGAGUGAGAAGGGGCCGGAGAAAUGGAUCCGAUGCGGCGGUUACUACUUGAGCUGAGUGCGGGGGGUAAGAGAAAGGGCUUGGGGUUGGGUAAUAUUACACUGUGUGCCACUCCCUUUUUUUUUUAUUUUUUCUUUAUUGAGAGUGAUUGAGAAACAGGGGAAAGUAUGGCUUUUGACCGGUCAAAAGAGCGGAUUUGGUAGGGGCAGUUACGACAUUUAAUGUGAUUGGUGAGGGUACAACGACAGAGUAGAUAAUGACGCACGGAGUACCUCACUAACGGUCACGUUUUAGGACUUUAAGUUCCGUGCCUAGUCAAAUCAUAGUCCCUUAGACACCACGAGCAAGUACAUUCGUUUGAUUUAUUUCUUUUCCAAUCUCCGUAGUAGCUCAUUAAUUCAUAACCUGUUACGGACCCAAAAAAGAUACUAAAUUACUGUUCAACUGGAUCAAUCAGUCAUUAAAUUUAUCGACAUUAUACCAUAAGGUACCGUUUGGUUCGGGGAUAAUAAAUUUGGGGAUAAAUUUUUUUAACCCUGGGAUAGUAGGCUAGUCUAGGAUAGUGAAGGAUAAAAGUAAAAUAGUGUUUGGUUUGUAAAACAAUCAUUACUAGGAAUAACAGAAAUUAUGUUUGGUAAGUUUAUUAGAAUAACUAAGAAUAGUGAGAAAAAGUGUUAGAUUAUUUUUGCAAAUACCAAUUUUGCCCUUAGGUUUCAUGUACAAAUAUUUUGUAAGUUACAGAACUAAUUAGAUUUUACAUUUAGCUAAGCAAGAGAACAUUUUAUAGACAUGAUUGUUGGAUUAAUUUUUUUUAAAAAUUUAAUGUCAGAAAUUAUGGUAGUAACAUAUGCUGAAGAGAAAAUAAUUAAAUUUAUGCACUUCAAGUCACUGUUAAAUAAAAUUAAUAUCGUCAAAUUAUACAAGAAGGUUGUUAAUUACAUCAAAUUUAAAAUUACAACAAAGUUCAAUGCUGCUUAAUUACUAUUAUACAAAACCAAACAGCAUGAAGGUAUUCAAGAGGAUGUUAAUUACAAAUUCCCAAAGGCAUAAAACCAUAAAGAAGACACAUUACAUUGAAAAAUAUCAACAACCAACUCAUACAAUUAUCAACUAUUUUUUCAAAUUUAAGCAAUUCAGAUUGCAAGUAACAAUGCAAAUAGUUAAAAAACAUCCGGUUACGAAAAAUUUUCAAACACCAAUUAGUGAAGGUUCAAGGUGAAGGCAAGAUACAUAACUAAAUAAAGCAAAUUACAAAGCAUGUUCACACAAAUUUAUAAAGAUUACAUCAUUUCUAAUAUAGCCUCCUAUCUAUUGUUCCACAAUUGCUCUGUGAUCAUAGUGCGAAGGGCGUCACCUCGCCGAGACUCAUCUGGGCCAAUAGGAGGUAUCGAGUCAUCAUUUUGGUCGUCUGUAGGAAAUUGGUCCGUUUGCAUGUUGAAGUAUCUAUCGGUCCCUUGAUGCCUCUUUAUGAAAUUGUGUAUCACACAACAGGCAAGGGCAAUGCGGCACUGUACUUUGUAAGGAAAGGGUGUAGCUUGUCGCAGCACCUUGAACCGUCGCUUUAGGAUCCCAAAGGCUUUCUCAACUACAUUUCUCAAUUGAGCGUGACGAUGAUUAUAUAAAUCUCGAGGUCCUCGAUGCCUUCGUGCCUGUGCGUUUACAUCAAAUUGGCUCAAGUGGUAUCGCUCGCCUCGAUAGGGAGCGAGGAAGCGGUCAGUGUUCGCAUAGCCUGAAUCGACUAAAUAAAAUUUUCCUAAACAAAUAUAAAGCUUUAUUAUAAUUACAAUAAUUAAACUUGUAUCAGACAUUAAAUAGCAAUAUAAUUUAUUUACCUCCCGGUACUGUGAAACCGCCGCUCUCGCAACACCAUCGCAACACCCUCAUAUCAGCUGCAGAACCCUCCCACCCGGUGCAUACAAAUAAAAAUUGAUGGUCGAAAGAACAUGCUGCCAUCAUGUUGUGAGAUGUAAAACCUUUUCGGCAACGAUAUCUUGGUUGCUUAGCCUUUCGUACAACCACCGGAAUGUGUGUUCCAUCUACUGCACCAAUUGCAUUCUGAAAAAAUAUUUACAUAGAUACAAUAGUUAACAUCAGAUAUCUCAUUAUCAAAUAAACAUAAAUUAAUUCGACUAAUUAAAGAACUCAAAUCUGAGGGUUAGUUACCUUGAAUGGAUGAAAAAUCGGAUUAUCUUUUAUUCUUGGGUGUACACCAACAUUAGAUGCCGGUGGUUGGAUGUACUCAUGUCUAAGUUCUACCACACCUCGCAGUACAUUAUUAAAAUGCCUACUAAUCGUUUCUCCUGAAUGUUGAAAAGUUUCAGCUAAAACUCUGUUGGCUACGCCAUGACCUAUACCAAAUAAAAAUAUACCAAGUUGCUCAUUAGCAGUUAAAUGCCUAGUGCUUUGUAUAAAUCCCCUCGCAACUAAUUCAUCUCGAAGUCUUAUAAACAUUGUGGUAGUCAUCCUAAAAUGUUGGUAUCCUCUAUCAGGAUGUCCACUCAAUAUGUCAUGAAUUAACUGAUGACCAGUGAACGGCCGUGUUCGACAAGGCUGCUUAUAAAUUGUGCUGCGGAAUGAGAAGUCCCCUUCUUCGAUAAGUAACGCAUGGACUUCUUCCCAAUAGUCCUCUUCCUCUUCUAAGAAUGUCAUGAGAUCGGCAACAAGUGGUGAAGAAAAAGCUUGACGAAAGAUUGCACCAGCCAUGACUGCAAAUGAACAAAAGAAAACAUUCAUAACACAAUUAUAGUUAUAGAUUAAUUUAUAAUGGCUCAGGUAGUAAGGUAGAAAAAUAUGCAGGUGGCUGCAUGGUCUUUAACCAUGCCUCCCAACCUUGCACACCUAUUUGGUUAGAUAUCAGCAUCGCCAAAAGGAGAAAGAAGGAUGCAAGAAAAGAAAAAAGGGUAAAGAAGAUGUGAAGCUGAAGCAAGAAUCAGGUGCACAAGAUUAUAAGUGACAGUAUUGCAAAUAGUCAAGUAAGCAAAUUACUGCCUUACAGCUGAAAUUCCAUAUAUGAAUCAAAGCUGAAACAAAGUAUAAAUGGUGAUACUUUGUGUUGGCUCAGGUUUUAAGACCCACAACCAUGAAUGUGGAUGCAAUACCUUACGAAUCGCCGCCCAAUCCAUUCAAGCCUGCUAGUCUUUUAUCAUCAUUGCCGAAUUCAUUGCCAAUAUGACCACAUGUAGAAUAUGAUCUGGGAGAAGAAACAACUUACCUUGGGCGGCACUGAACUAACCACAUUACUGCAGGUUGGAAGAAGAAAUGAAGCAGUGAACAGUUGGAGAUCGAGGUGAAAUGGCAUCCAACAGAAUGUGAGUAAAAGCAACAAUGUUGCAAGUACAAGUAUAGAUGGUCACAUAUUGUGUUGGCUCAGGUAUUAAGGCCCACAAGCAUGAAUGGUGGAUGCAACACCUUACGAAUCGCCGCCCAAUCCAUUCAAGUCUGCUAGUCUUUUAUCAUCAUUGCCGAAUUCAUUGCCGAUAUGACCCACAUAUACAUUUAGAUGUAGGAGAAGAAAGAACUCACCUUGGGUAGCAGUGUUCUAACCACAUCACUGCAGGUUGGAAGAAGAGAUGCAGUAGUGAACAGUUAGAGAGGUGAAAUGGCAUCCAACAGAAUGUGAGUAAAAGCAACAAUGUUGCAAUUACAAGUAUAAAUGGUGAUAUAUUGUGUUGGCUCAGGUAUUAAGGCCCACAAGUAUCAAUGGUGGCUGCAAUACCUUAAUAUUGCCCCCCAAACCAUUCACACCUGCUACUCUGUUACACAUCAUUGCCGAACGGACCAACAUGUAAACCGACAGCUGACAGGAGAGAAGAAGAAAAGUUAUACAAUGAAGUAAACAAGCAGCGAACAAUCAAUGCAAAGAUAGGUAUACAAAGCUGUAUUCGAACUACACUCAUUUGUUAUACCUGAACUUUACAAUCUGAACAAACUAGUUUUACAAUGCAGUAAACAGGUAGUGAAGAAACAAUAUAAAGAAAGCUAUAUAAAGCUGUAGAUGAUCUACACUAAUUAUUUAUACAUGAACUAUACAAUCUGAACAAACAAAUUUUACAAUAAAGUAAACAGACAGUGAAGAAGCAAUGCAAAGAAAGCUAUACGAAGUUGUAUAUAAAUUACACCAAUUAGUUAUACAUUAUCUUUACAAUCUCAAAAAACAAGUUUUACAAUUUAGUAAACCUGACAGUGAGAAAUCAAUGCAAGUAAACCAAUACAAAGCUGUAGAUAAACUACACCAAUUAGUUAUACAUGAUCUUUACAAUCUGAACAAACAAGUUUUUCAAUAAGGUACACAGGCAGUGAAGAAAUAAUGCAAAGAAAACUAUACAAAGCUGUAGAUGAAAUUCACUAAUUAUUUAUACAUGAUCUAUACAAUCUGAAGAAACAAGUUUUACAAUUUAGUAAACUGACAGUGAAGAAGCAAUAUAAAGACAACUAUACAAAGCUGUGGAUGAACUUCACUAAUUAUUUAUACAUGAUCUAUACAAUCUGAACAAACAAGUUUUACAAUUUAGUAAACUGACAGUGAAGAAGCAAUAUAAAACAACUAUACAAAGCUGUGGAUGAACUUCACUAAUUAUUUAUACAUGAUCUAUACAAUCUGAACAAACAAGUUUUGCAAUUUUGUAAACUGACAGUGAAGAAUCAAUGCAAAAAAAGCUAUAAAAAGCUGUAGCUGAACUACACUAAUUAGUUAUGCAUGAACUUUACAAUAUGAAUAAACAAUUUUUUCAAUAAGGUACACAGACAGUGAAGAAACAGUGCAAAGAAAACUUUACAAAGCUGUAGGUGAAAUUCACUAAUUAUUUAUACAUGAUCUAUACAAUCUGAACAAACAAAUUUUACAAUUUAGUAAACUGACAGUGAAGAAUCAAUGCAAAAAAAGCUAUAAAAAACUGUAGUUGAACUACACUAAUUAGUUAUGCAUGAACUUUACAAUAUGAACAAACAAGUUUUACAAUGCAGUAAAUAGGCAGUGAAUAAGCAAUGCAAAAGAAGUUAUACAAAACUGUAGAUGAACUACAUUAAUUAGUUACAAAUGAACUUUGUAAGAUAGUUGGUGUCAAACUAAUGAAACUAAACAAACUCACAAAAAUGUACAUAACCAUGAACUUUGCAAUUAAAAGUUAAGGCAUACAACUUAAAUCAGUACAAAAUAAACCAUGAUCUAACUUAUCCUAAUCAUGAGUUAGAGCAAACAAACAACUGAAAUUGAAAUACAACAUAUAAAGUAAAGCAUACAACUAAUAUAAAAGGGAGCAAUCCAUUAGUUUAGGCAUGUAGGCAUCUCGGCUACCAAGCACACAAAAUAGCUAAUGAGUUUUUGCUAACAUAAAGCAUAAAUACUAAGCGUGAGCCAUGGACACAAAAUAGCUAAUGAGUUCUUGCUUACAUAAAGCAUAAGUACUAAGAGUGAGGCCACCAAAAUGUCGCUACUUCAGCAAUAUUGCUGUGAGCUUAAUUUGGAGGGAAAGAACUCCCUGCCGGAGGAAAGGAAGGUAUAUCAGCAGGAUCGGAAGGAGCUGAUAGAGGAAACAUGGUUGUACGGCUUGAAAAAGAUGGUCCAGGAGGGAAACCUGCACUUGCUGCCGGAAAGGAUGAUGGUCCAGGAGCAAAUGAUGAGGCUGUUGUUGGAAAGAAGGGUGCGGUUGAUGGGAAAGAUGGCGCAACAGGCCUGAGACCAGUGAAAAGUUGAUGCAUGGCAAUUUGACGAUCUAUCCACAUAUACAACAGAUCGCCAUUCAUUGCCAUGAAAAUUGGCCUAUUGCGCUCAUCUUUUAAAGCUUCACAAACAGCAAGUAAACCAUCGGGAGACAACUUAGCGACAUUGCUCAACCUUUCCAUACACUCCUCUAUGGAGUGAAUUUUGGGUCUUGCAUGUAACUCACGUUGCAUUAAAGUUUGAGCAAUCUCCGUUCUUUUCUUUCCCAAUUCAACAAGCUCAUAAAUUGCUUCCGUUCGACCGUCAUCCUUACGUCUACGGGUUGAAGAUGGUGUAGGGAUUGGUGGCGAGACCCGAACCCUCUUCAUUGAUGAAGUGUGGCCAGAGGCACUACCAGUAUAUUGGCUACUUACUUUAAUUGGAGUUUGUGUUGGAGACGUUGAAUUUGCAUCAUUAGCAUCAUCUAAAUUCUGUGCUAGAUUCUCCAUAUUGAGCGCAACCGGAGAUGAUGAAGAGGUGCUACGAACAUCCUCAUCCAUGUUGGAAGUAAACCCAUGCUUCCCGGUUGCAGUUGCUUUUCCCGACAAAUACUCAAUAGAGUCAUAUGCAGGAAAAGGCUUGUCCCUACAUUUAGCAUAUGCUGGAUUUUCCUACAAAUGUGGAAAUCAUUGAUGAUAAGUUAAUAAAAUCUAUGUAAAUAAAACAACUUGACUUAUAUAAAAAUUUUGAACAGAAUAAAAAACUUACCGCUAUGAUAGCAUCCCAAUCAGCUGGGUCACCGGCAGUGGGAAUGUUUUGGAUGUGGUCCCACCCCCAUCCACUUUUGUUUGCCAAAGUUUGAUACAUCAAAUAUUGACGCUUCAAGACUUUUAACCGAUUUUGCAAAUUGACUUUGUUAAAGCAUAAUUUUGUCCUCUCAUUGAAAUCGUGAACCAUUCGAGUCCAUGCUAAUGGGGUAAAGCUCCCAUUAACAAAAUUACCAAGAGCAUGCUCCUCAGUCAUUAAGUUCAACAUUGCCGAGUCCAUAUUUUCUGUCCAGUUCGAGGAUCUUACUCGGGUUUUCGAUGGUUCCUGCGGUGGCCCAUCUAAACUUUGACUAUCAGCAGAGGGCGCAGCAAAACCUUUGUUUUUCAACGACUUUUUAAGAUGGGCCAUCUGGGAUAAACAAACAUAGAAAUCAUAUUUGUAUUACAACAAAUAUAUAAUACUGGUUUAGCACAAUAUUUGAGUGAUAUGUUAUUUUGUCAAAAUGCUCAGGGGAGAAGGUUACAUAUGAUUUCAUGACGGAUGCAAUAGUUUUUAAAAAACCAUGCCGCCCAUGCCAUGAAUAUAUAUAUAUCGCCUUUCCCUACAUCAUUGCCAUUAUAUUUUUAAAACCGUGCCUCAAACAAACUGAAUUAGAUCAGGAUAUAGCUAGCAACUUUCAAUUCAUCAUAGGACCUCUUUGCAAUCUUAUAUUGAAUUAUGAUUAGGUGAAGUAAUUUCAGCUUGAAAGUUUCUUCAAAUCAAAUGAUCAAACUUGUACAGCUUUCUAUAGUUUUCUUUGCAUUGCUUCUUCACUCCCUGUUUACUUCAUUAUAAAACUUGGUUGUUCAGAUUGUAUAGUUCAUGUAUAAAUAAUCAGUGUAGUUCAUCUCAUAUUUUUUCAAAAUGCUCAGGGGACAAGGCUACACAUAAUUCCAUGACGGAUGCAAUAGUUUAAAAAAAACCAUGCCACCCAUGCCUUGAAUAUAUAUAUCGCCUUUCCCUACAUCAUUGCUAUUUUUUUAAAAAAAUCCAUGCCUCAAACUGAACUGGAUUAGAUCAGAAUGUAGCUAGCAGCUUUCAAUUCAUCAUAUGACCUCUUUGCAAUCUUACACUGAGUUAUGUUCAGCUACAAAUAAUUUCAGCUUCGAAUUAUCUUCAAAUCAAAAGAUCAAAGUUGUAUAAAAAAAAAUAUAGAAACUGUAUGAUGCAGUCAUAAAGUAUGAUCAGCAAUACAUGGGUGCUGUCAUAAAUUAUGGCAAUAGGAAAAUUAUAAAUCAAGCAUAAAGUCAGGAUGCAAAGUUUCUGUGUAUCAAAUAAAAUUUUUAAGAAACUGUGGGUUUGUAAAAUAUCUUGAAAUAGUUUAAAAAAUGAGAUUUAACAGCAUGCGAGCAAAAGAGACAGACAGAUCCAAAAUACACUAGAAAAUUGGGGUAAAAUCCAUAAAACCUCACCUCGACGAGAUUAAUAGAAGGCAGAAAUUAUCAAGAGUGAACUUCUACACCAGCACAGAUAUAGUAUAGAAGCAAAGAUCAGAUUCCAAGCAAGAUGCAAAAAAGAACCAGUACCUUCGAAUCCCACUCAAUUUUAUAGAUGAAAGGGGGCACAAAUAGUCCAUGCCUUCUACCUGCAAGGCUAGUGGUCGCACUAAAUGGGCGACUUGACAACACAGGGCAUACAUCCUGCAGAACCCACCUCGAUUUCUUGCCUCAGAAGCCCACAACAGAUUUUGAGCGAAGGAAAAACCAAUUUAUACCAGUCAAAUCCGAGGGUUUGAGAGAGGGGAUACAAAAGAAAACAGAUCUCAACUGGGAUCUUCCUCACAGACUGCGAGAGGAGUAUAGAAGAAGAAAGUAAAGGGCAAAGAGGAGUUACCGAUGAACGCAGAUCUGAUACAAGAUCUCGCUCAUUGAUUAUGCUGACUGCGAAAUGACAAAAGAGGCAUAAAGCGAUGGUUUAUGCUCGCCCAACACGAGGGGGAGGGAGAUCGGCGGAGUAAUGAGCGAAGAGAGAGGUAGGUGAAGAGCAUUAACGAAGAAGAAGAGGCGAAGGUAGGUGAAGAGCAAUAACGAAGAAGAAGGAGAAGGGGCAUCGCAGCUUUUUCCAACCCAUGCCCCUGGGAUAAACCAGCGGAAAUGCCCUAUUCCGCUGGUCCCAGGGGUUAGCUCUUAACGGGUUAUCCAAGGAUAACCCGUUAAGAGCGGGAUUAAUUAUCCCACCAAAAAACUGCACUGUUUGGAAGGUUUAGCAGGAUAAAAUGGUCUAAACCCACUUUAUCCUGCCAACCAAACACUGCCUAAAUAAAUAAAUAUUAUUAAUUAUAAAAUAAUAAAAAUAUAAAAGAUAAUUUUAAAUAAAAUUAAUUGAACCGUCUGCUUAAUAAUUUAUAGUUCGAAUCAGUUUAAUUAACACUUAAGCUGAUCUACGGUUUACCGAUUGAACCUUUGGUUAAAACAAGGUAAUACAGGUUUGAAAGUUUUUCCAUUUAUAGGGGCCGUUUGGUUAGAUGUAAUUAUAAAUACAGUGUAGUUAGAAAUGCAAGCAGUUUGAAAUACAGCAGUUAUAACUAUAUGAAUCUUAUUUGGUUGGAUGUAGUAGAAAACGCUGUAAGUAUAAAUAAUUUGUUUGGUUGUAUGCAGUUGAGAAAUAAUUUUUAAAAUUUUAUUAUUUUAUAUAUAUGAUGGUAAGAUUACCUCUAAUAUAAAAAAAAAAAAAAAUUUUAUUUAAAAAAUAUUCAGGAGGUAAGCAUACCUUUUAUUUAAAAUUACUUUUUUCAACUACUGUAGUUGGAACUGCGGCCAAUUUGGAUGUAGUUCGAACUGCUGCAAUUGGGCCUCCUCCUGCAGUUCCUACUGCAGUAAGGGGUUGUUUUGUUGCACUCAUUUGCAACUGCAGCAGUACAGUUGCAAAUGCGUGCAGCCUCAAUUCUUUUGUUUGGUUUAGUGUAGUUGAGUUCAACUGUUGCAGUUCCAACUACACAAGAAGGUCCAAAUGCUGCAGUUGAAACUAUAUCCAAAUUGGCCGUAGUUCUAACUGCAGCAGUUGGUGAUGGAUAGGAUCACCCACAAAUUAACAAUAAUAAAUAAAUAAAUAAAUAGCUAAAUAAAUAAAUAAUAUAUGUAUAUAGGUAAAUAAAAAUACUUGUAAAUAAACUCAUACUAAUAAAAUUUUUUAGACAAUACAAGCUUUGUGCAAAAAAAUCAAAAUUUUUAAAUUUUUUUUAUUUAAAAUAUAAAUAUAGUUUUUUUAAAAAAAUUUUAUAGAAUGUGAUCGUGUAUGUUAAUUUAAUAAGUUUUAAUUAAUUAUAAUUAUUAAAUUUGAUAAAAAAAAUGAGAGAAUCGUUAAAUUUUAAAGUUCGAUUUACAUAUUAAAAUUAAAUAAAUUAAAAAUUUUAAAUAUGUCGAUUAAUAAGUUGAAGAAUAUUAUAUAUAUCUACUUAUUUAUUUAUAAAUAGUAAAUUUAAAUGAUUAAUAAACUUAUACAAUUAUUUUAUGUUUAGUGAAGGUAAUCUCACCACUCUAUCUGAAAAGGUGACAAAAUUCACAAAUACAACUAUCAGCUUCAUAUUACCAAACAGAAGAAAUGUAACUGCAGCAGUUGCAACUGCGUAAAACCAAACAGACUAGGUGUAGUUACAACUGCAGCAUUUACAACUGCAUGUAUUUUCAACUACACUGUUUCUGCAACUACGUCCAACCAAACAGUCCCUAAUUGGAGUUAAAUAUAUCAAACCAAAAACGAAAUUUACAUUUACAUGCAGUUACAACUACAAUGCAAUUGUAACUACAUGCAACCAACCGGCCUCUUAAUGGGUUGAACCAAACCGGUCUAGAGCAUAUACACGGAUACGAAAUACAUGAUAUGACACGAACAUGAUGACUUAGAGUGUUCAAAAAGUUUGACAUGGACACGAUAUGACCACUUAUUAAAAUAAUAAUUAUUAUAUAUAAAAUAUUAAAUUUGUUAAAAUACUUUUAUAUUUCAUAAAAUUUUUACUGAUUGUUGAUAUGGUUUAAGGAAAGAAAAUUUUCAUCAUAUUUAAUUUAUUUAUAUUGCCCAAAAAAUUUAUAUACAUUCACAAAAAAAAAAAACAAAAUAUAAAUAAUUUUACAUUUUAUAUGCAUAAAAAAUAAAAUAAAAAAUGUAUAUUUUAAGGGAUGCGUCAUGGAUCAAUGUCAAACGGAUCUACAUAGCGUGUUGAGACUUAUAGAAAUAUAAGUGAUAUAUAGUGCAUAAUUGAAUUAUUUAAUACUGAAAUUUUAACACGUUAUAUGAUGCAUAAAUCUAGCGACAAUUGAAUCAAUAAUCUCAUAGAAUGAGAGAUUGUUAAAUUGACUUUAAAAUUAUGUUACGCAAAAGAAUGAUCUAAUAAGAAACGAGUUCAAAAACAUUUAUCAACAAAUUUAAAGUAAUUGACACAAUUUAUGUAAUAUGAUUAGAUUCCUACACACAAUAUGUAAUAUAAAUGGCUGUUACAUAAUGCAUUUAAUGCUACAUGUGAAAACAUGAACAAUUGCAACAACAUUCUUUUGAGUUGGCCUACUGGCCUAGUCAGAUAGGUGGAAACAUCUAGUCCCUUCGAAUUAAACUCCUCGAACUACUACAAUCGUGAUUUGAUGUUAGAGAUUCUCAUGUACCAUGUGUUCAAUCAAAGAUCUGUGACAUGAAUGGUUCUGAGAAGUGAACAGUUGAUGAGAGUUUUUUCUUUUCCCUCCUAAUAUCAUGCUAUUGACCAUUGAACAAUUAAUGCGUGUGGGCAUUUGCAGAUUGAAAUUUCCCUGAAACUGACUUUUUUUCUCUUCUUUUUUUUGACAUUCAUGCUCUUUGAAGUAUCUCCAAGCUACCUAAAUUCAAAAUUUCGAACUUUCUCAACUUAGCCAAUGGUCAAUGACACAGGCAGUGUGUUAAUUAAUCGACUUAUCGCUAUAUAAAUUAUCUUAAUAUCUGAUAAUACUUGAUUGGUUAAACUAAUGAGGAACUCAAGCGUAAGCGUAAGUGUUUUUAGAGAUACCGAGGAUAAGUAACUAAUGUAGAAUUGAAAGAAUAAGAGUAAGUAUGUUAAAUAAUGUAAAUUUCAGAGUUUAAAUAAUGUAAAACGACGGUUCGUAUCUAAAAGCUUAAGAUUCUAAAUAACGAUAGUUUUAUAUUUUAUAUUCAACAAAACACAACUAUUUCAUAGCAUACAGAUUUGUUUCGACAAGUUUGUAAAAUUCAAAGUUCUAUUUUGCAAGUUUGGAAAUUACUCUCUUAUCUCCCAUCUCAUCCUUCAGAGUCAGAAACAAAGAGGCAAUUCAUGUUUGUGAAUGCUUUGGUUCUCAACCAUGUCAGAUAAGAAAGAUGGAGAAUGAUUACUAGUGCAGGAGAAGUAACAAAGCAUAAGUAGCAUCGAAAAAUUGCAGAGUAAAAGCAUGCAAAGUUGAUAAAAAAACAACUGCAGUGAAAACUCACUAGGGUAAAAUAUACGGAUAGUCGCUGUAUUAGACCAAGGAAUGUUACUACUUAUAAACCGCCUACCGAUUAUGUAACCCUGAUUAUCUUACCUCAUUUUCUUAAAAAAAAAAGAGAAUGAAAUAACCUGAGUGACAAAUUUUCAGCGAGCUGCGCCCAGUUUAUGAUAAAGUCAUGAAGCAAUUGCAGAAGUAAGCAAAAGCAGAGUAAAUACUCAGCCAGUAAAGCUUAACUAGUCCAAUUGCUUAAAAACCAAUUCAUUUUACAUCAUUUUAGAGGACCCCCAAAUCCCAGAACACCAUGAACUAAACCUCAGGAAUCUAAUUACAAGAGAGGAGAACAAAAUGUGUCAGAAAAGGUUUUACUGACAUAGAAGAGCAUCAUACAAAGCUGUGUCCUCCUCUUUCUCUCUCGAUCCAGUAAACCUCUUGAUGCCAACAAAAUUGCUCUUUAUCUCUGAAUCUGUCUCACUUACAAAACCCUGAGAAGGACAUUUUCUGCGACUAGAGGAUCUACUACCAUGAAUUCAUAUAUUGGCAUUUACACCGUGUGAUUCCGGCUUUCGGAACAAAAAACGGGUCCUAAUUUACUUUUCAGUUGUUCGCAAAGCCACAUCCAUCAUACAAGGAUUCUGAUUCUUAAGAAGGGAACAGAGAUUCCCGGCAUGGUUAACAGUAUUUCAUCCUAAGUUUCACCUUAGUCGCAUACAUUUAUCCUAUUCAUGAUGCCAGGAUUAUGGAAGUGAGAAGAUCAAUAAACCAUGAUUUACCUGUGCACACAUUGACACAUAUAGAACCUAGUGCGAAUAAAAGAUCCCAUGAACCUUCAGAAAUUACCUGGAAUGCAUUGCAUUAUGUCUCAAAACCGAAAAAUAUCAAUAAUAAACUUGUUAUCAUCACAUUUACGAAAACUAACAGGUCCUUCCACAGUUCAGGUAAAAUAUAGCUCUAUUGAUAGAAAACUUUCACUUACAACUUUACAUGAGUAUUGUUUCCUCUGGUGGCGAUCUCAUCUCCACCUUACAGUGAAAAAAAAAGAAAGAAACAAAAAUAAAAAAAGAAAUUGCCCAAAGCCGACAAAAAAGAAACAAAAGGAGAGCUUUAACAUUUUGAGGAUAAGUAAAUGUUAUAUACAUUGGUUCUCCAUUAUUCUUUUAGGCACCUGCUAUUUGGACGCAGAUUUUCAAGUCCUUCACUUCGUCAACAACCGAUUUCCUCAAGCCAUGCGAGUAAUUGUUGCGACAAAGGCCUCAAUUUAGGGGAGUCACUAACACAGAGGCACGCAAUCUCGAGCAUUCUCAUAACCUCAUUAUUGUUCUCCUUAUCAUAUAUAUGCGGGUCGAUGACCUCCAUUCCCUUCUUUUCCUUCUUCAUCUGAAUUACCCAAGAAACAACAUCCCUACUUCCUUUCGGCUUACACAUGUCCACGGGCCUCCUCCCUGUAAGUAACUCUAGCAAAACAACCCCAAAACUAUACACAUCGCCUUUAUACGUCGCGACCGCAGAUUGCCCAUAUUCAGGAGGAAUAUAUCCCAAAGUCCCGACGAGAUCGGUAGUAACAUGUGUAUCGUAGGGCAAAAUUAGCCUCGCGAGCCCGAAAUCCGCCAAGUGUGCCUCGAAAUUCUCAUCUAGCAAGAUGUUACUAGACUUAAUAUCCCGAUGUAGGAUAUGAGGGUCGCAAGAUUGGUGCAAGUAUGCUAAACCCCUCGCGGCCCCUUGUGCUAUUUGAAUUCGCUUGCCCCAGUCGAGGACCGCACCCCCUUCUACCUUUUCAUGAAGCCAGUAGUCCAAACUCCCGUUCUCCAUGAACGAAUAGAUCAGGAGCCGGUCAUUGCCGAUCCUGCAAUACCCUUGGAGCAGAACAAGAUUCGUGUGCUGGGCUCUUGAAAGGGUUUCGACCUCGGCAUGGAAUUCCCUCUCCAUCUGACAAUAAUCGCCGGAAAGCCGUUUGAUAGCCACCUUACUUCCGUCCGGUAAAGUUGCUUUGUAGACCAACCCAAAGCCGCCGCAUCCGAUAAUGCGAGACUGAUCAAAGUUCUCGGUGGACUUCAGUAUAUCAUUUAUGCUCAGCUCCUUGCUCUCCUUGUUCUGAAACAGUAGAACCAAUCUCGACCCAGCCAACUCUAAGCUAUAAUCGAGGUCUGCCACGACCUUCGCAUUAUCUUCUCUUUUCCUAGACCGAAUUCUCAAAACGAUUAUAUAUGUAGCAAUGAUAAGGGAAGCGAUCCCCGCUCCGAUUCCAAUUGCCAAUCCGACUAUCGUGCCUUUUUUCUUAUGCUUCGUACUAUCCACCUGCGAAGAGGCGUUUUUUGGGCAAGGAAUCAAGUGAAUGCCACAUAGGCCAGGAUUUCCUUGAAAGUCUUCUUUAGAGAAAGUUGAGAACUGGCCUCCUGUUGGGAUUUCUCCAACUAAAUUGUUGUAGGCCACAUUGAAGUAAGAAAGAAAAUUCAACCUCGUCAAAGAUAGUGGUAUGGUACCGGUGAGAUGGUUGUGCGAUAAAUCCAAGGAUUCUAAACUCGACAUGCCCGACAAAUCGGGAAUAGUUCCCGAGAUAUUGUUCCAACUCAAAUCCAACACAUGGAGCUUCACAAGGUCGUUAAACCCAGGCAAGAUCGACCCAACAAGCUUAUUGUUGCUCAAAAUUAUCGACGGUGGAAAGCUGCUAACUUGAUUGUAUUGUAGACCCUUCCCACUCGAAUUUCUCUUGAUGAAAAAGGGAAAAUCUUGUGAUGCCGUCCUUUCUAGCGAUGAGUUACCGUAGAUGAGGCUCUUCAUGAGUGUUAAACUAGUAGGAAUUUCUCCGGUGAGCGAAUUAUUCGAUAUGUCCAAGUAGAAGAGAUUGUCCAGGUUUCCCAACCAUACAGGGAUCGUCCCGGUUAAAUGGUUCCAGGAAAUGUCCAAGACCUUCAAUUUGCUCAGAUUCACCAACCACGGCGGGAUAGAACCCGAAAGAGCACAAUUCGCAAUGACAAAGACUUCCGUGUUAGCAAAUCCUUGAAUCCCUUCGGACGGCAUUGACUCACCACCGCGAAAGUUCUUAGUGAACACAAGGUUUUUAAGAUUGGGCAAGUUUUGUAGGAUUUGUAGUGCCGAGAAUAAGUUGGCGAAGUUGUUUCCGGUGAGCGAGAGAUCGGACAGGGAGGUGAAGUUCUUGAAGCUAGAGGGUAUUUCGCCAACAAGAUUGUUUCUAGCAAGAUUUAAGGUGGUCAUUUGCGUGCAAUUGGGCAGAUCGGGAGGGAUAGGUCCGGAAAACAAAUUCGAUCCGAGGUCGAGGAUGUUUAACCUCGGCAAGGUUGUAAAGUUGAGAUCGAUGGUCCCCCGAAGAGAGUUAUUUCUCAAGCUAAUAGUAGUGAGUGUUGAACAACUAGACAAAGAAGGGGGUAAACCCCCAGUGAGUAUAUUGCAUAAAGCACUAAAGCACUCUAGCUUAUUUAAUCUAUCAAAUACAUCCGGGAUCACCCCGGAAAAGUUAUUGGAGGAAAUAUCUACAUGGACAAGGUUGGAAAGGUUUCCAAUGUUUGUGCUCACAGUACCAGAUAGUGAAUUCCCCUGGAGGUUUAGUUUGGUCAACGAGGAUAGUGUAAAGAGAUCAUCGGGCAAAGUUCCGGUAAGGCCAUUUGCAUCGAGCAAGAGCUCGGAAAGGGAACUGCAGUUCCCGAAGCCGGCAGGGAACUCGCCGGAGAACAUGUUCGCCGAGAACCGAAGCACUUUAAUGGAAUCAGAGGAAUUGCAGAUACCUGUAUCGACGGGGCCCCAGAAGCGGUUCAAGCUGACGUCGUAGACUGAUAGAUUGCUCGAUCCGGCGAAGAUCGGGUGCGUGCCGUUGAAUGAAUUGAAGGAGAUGUUGAAUACCUGAAUCGACGAUAGGUUCGAUUCUGCAGGGAUAAGCCCAGAUAACAUGUUCGUACUAAGAUCAAGGAGCUCCAAGUGGGGGAGAUGGAAUAGCUCCACAGGAACCGGUCCACGAAGGGAAUUGUAGGAGAGAUUGAGCAGCUUCAAUUGAUCUAAUCCGCCCAGAGAAGAAGAGACGGAGCCCUUUAAACUCUUCUUGGACAGAUCCAAACCAAUCACCCUCUUCACCAGAGCAGAGCCCAAAUCACAUGAUAUCCCAACCCAAUUACAGCAAUCUGAAGAGGACGACCCAUUAAAGCUCCACCCAAGAUCACUCGAUUGGAGCCCUUCCACAAAGCCCUGGAGCGCAUUCAAAUCGCUCGAGUCGCAGCUUUGUUGGCUCUGGGAACAGCAGAGGGGAGCGAAGAGGAGCAAGAGGAGGAGGGAGGAGAAGCAGGGGAGUCCCCUGUUUCCCAUUUCAGCGGGUUCCCAGAAGAGGCGAGGGGGUGAAGUGGGUAAAGGAGACUCUUUUAUGGAAGAGCAUCGAGGAUUAGCAAAACCCAGUUGAGAUUUUGGCCUUACUCCAAGUGGCUUGGGAGGAAAAAGAAGAGGUGGUGGUGGUGAAGGAGAAGAGCUUAAAUUGUUCACAUCAAUGGCGAGAGAGAGAGAGAGAGAGAGAGAGAGAAAGGGAGUGCGUGGUUUGGAUUUUUCCCCGUAGUUUACUUCUUCUUCUUCUUCUUCUUCUUCUUCUAUAUAAUUUAUUUUAUUUAAUUUUCUUUCUUCUUUCUCGUGCUUCUUUAUUACUUAAUUCAACGCACUAUUGCUAAAAAAUUUUUUCCCCCUUUCUUUGUAGGUAAUUAAAAAAAAGGGCGGUGGUUUGUUGAAGGUUUGGAACGGCGAAGACGAAAAGAGCAAAAAGAGGAAAGUCCAGAAAUUAUUCCAUGCACCUGGAGCACCAAAUGCCAUAUUACCCUGAGUAUCAGCAUACUAUAUAGUGACGAUUUAGUCCAUAAUAUUAAAGCUUUUUUAAAAUCAUUCGACUCUUUAUAUAGUAUUAAAUCAUAUCUAUAUAUCAAUUUGAAUUCUUAUUUUAAUACAUUUAUUAUUAUUAUUAAAUAUUAAGUACGGUGCGUGAGUUAUAAGUAUACACGCGGUGUAGGGAUCAAGAACACCGUUUAGGGGGAGGGGGAGUGAGAGAGACGGAGAGAGGGUGACCGGGGAACAGGAGUCGUGACCGGCUGUAGGCGGUAGGCUCUGAACGGCGCACUCGGGUGGUGACCGGGUGCAGGAGGUCAACGGUCAGGCGGGGGCGACACGUUGGAGAGAGAGGCGCGCAUUUCGAAGCCGCCGUGCCGACGUGGCGCGUCCUGUUUAUGUUUAUGAUUGCAAAAAUUUCUUCUUGCGCUAGUAUUAUGUGAUUUAAAGUGUCAUUUUCACACGCUAUAAUUUUAUUUUUUGGCUAUUUUUUUACUAUUUUUUUAUUUAAUUAGUGACAAAAUUAAAAUUAAAAGAUACCUAAGUAAAUUAUAAAUAGGGUAUCUAAAAUUUGUUGUAUAUGAUUUAACGAAAAGUUAACGAAGAGAUUGGUGAAAAAAAAAAACCACCAAACACUAAAUUGAUACAUUUUAAACCAUAUGAUACUAAAAUGAGAAAUUGUGAAAUUACUGGGAUGGUAUUUGAAGAUUACCCUUUAUAAUUUUUAUUUUUAUUACAAAAGUUAGAAAAAUGAAAAUAUUUGACUUUUCAGGAAAUUCUAGAAAACAUUUUAGGAAUCAAUCAAAUUUACUAAUAAUUUUAUCAUUUAUUUAAUGAUAUUAUUUACUUUUUAGUAGAUAAAAGUAGACCAAUGAAUGGUUAAUAUAUUACUAAUAACCAUUCAUUGAUAUAGUUUAAGGAAAGAGCUUUCCUCAUAGGGUUUGUGAUAGAGUGGAGAUGGAGAAAAGCAAAGAGCUAAAAUUGGGUUCUUAGUUGUGUCAUUGUUACUCCAUUACUUUUGUAAAAAGAAGAGAUGUGCAACAAAAGAAAAUCCUUUACUUUAGAGGAAUCAUAAUCUAUUUGGCUUCGCUUCUUAACGCGCACUUCAGGAUAUGCGCGUUAGCAUCAAAAAAAUUUACAAGUUAGAUAAUAGAUAUUUUUGUUUGCCCGUCUAUCCCCAAAUUAUUAUCUACAAAUGUACUUUUAAUAAGUUAUUAAUGAGCAAUAAAUGAAACUUGGCGGGAUAAUAUAGCUCGCUUAUGAACAAAGCCAAACACGCACUGAAUAUCAAAGUUGCUAAUAAAGAUAAACCAAAAUGUUAUUGCAUAAUAGAAUAAGUAGAACCUUAGUUUGUAGUAUAUGUUUUUCAAUUAUCAAUUUGUUUAUUUGUUCAUAUUGAUUUUUUAAUUAUCAAUUUAAUUGUCAUGAGGUUUUAUAUAUAGAUAUGACAUUAGAAAGUUAGAAUAACAAGAAAAUCUUUUGUUAGGAUAUAUAUUAUACCCAAUAUAUCUUUGAUAUAAUAUGGUUACCGUGUACACCUUUAUUCUUGUAAAUUUAUUUUAAUGAAAACUUAAAGAAUCAUUUGUAUUUUCUCCAAAAGAAAAGCUUCCACACUUAAAAAAGAAAACAAAAAAAAAAUCAUACUUAGAAAGUUGAAAGAGAAAAUGAAAAGGCUACUGUCAAGUUGUUGCCAAUUGGUGUGAACACUUUGCUCAAGUUAAAAUUUAGGGAAAACUUUAAAAACCUGUUUUGUGGUUUUACUUUUUCUCACUUUAGUAUUCUGUGGUUUAAACUGUAUCAAGUUAAUACUUGUGGUUUCGCACUUUUUUACUUUAGUACUCUGUAGUUUAAGGUGUAUCAAGUUAGUACCAUGUGGUUGCGGUUUUGCACUUUAUCAUUUUAGUAUCCUGUGGUUUCGCACUUUAUCACUUUAGUACCCUGUGAUUUAAAAACUAUAUGGUACUAACUUGAUACAAAAAUAAAACCACAUGGUACUAACUUGAAACAAAAAUAAAACAACAGAGUACUAACUUGAAGCAAAAAUAAACCACAGAUAUACACUUUAAACCACAGGGUACUAAAGUGAUAAAGUGAGAAACCACAGGAUACUAAUUUGAUAUACUUUAAACUAUAGGGUACCAAAAUAAAAAAAUAUAAAACCACACACACACACACACACAUAUAUAUAUAUAUAUAUAUAUAUAUAUAUAUAUAUAUAUAUAUAUAGUUUGACUAUAGUGUUUCCCGAAGUAUUAAGGAGUUGGUAUCGAUUUAAUAUAAUAAGUGGAAUAGUAAAUAAUUCAAGGGCUAAAAACUGUAUAGUAAUUACUAUUCAUCUACCGUCGAUGGUAGCAUAAAUGGACUCAUUUUUUUUUCAUAUAUAAAAAUAAAUCCUACCUGUUGAAAAUGAACUAAAGUUAAUUAAUCAUCCACCUAAUUUUUUGGGAAAAUAUUUAUUUACAAACCAACUACCAUGUGUCAUUGGGAUCAAAUGACAUCAUGUUAAACAUUUUGACUUGGAAAUAUUGAAAUUGAUCAACUACUAUCUAGAGUCCAUUGACCAACACCAAUUUUAGGAAUUUUUAAAGAUUAUUUAGACCAGGAAAAAAGGAAACAACUUUUUUUUUUUUUUUUUUUUCCUUUUGUUUUCCUUCACUCUUUUAAUAAAUAAUGCAAUAAUCUAUUUGCAAGUAGACCUUUCCCUCUAUUUGAUGUCAGGUAAAGCUAUUUUAGUCAUGAGGAUUAUGAGGUUUAGGUUAAAUUAUACAUAUCUUAUUUGAACUAUAUAUUGCUUAUUUAAAAUUAAUAUCUUGACUUUUAAAAUUUUCACUAUAUUAAUGGUUAUCUAAUCUUAGUAGUAUUUAUAACAUUUUAAUUGAAUACUUUGUAAUCUAACGGAGUAUUCUACAACUUAAAAAUGUUAUAAAUUAAAAGUUAGACAACAAUAUCUAAAUUUUGAAGUUCACAUAUUCUUUCGAUAUGCUCUGUAGUUCAUGUCAAACUUGUAUCUUCAAAGAGGGAAAAAAAACGAUUUUUUUUUUUCAAAGAAGCACUAAAAAUUUCAAAUAAAAUCCCUCAAAUAUCAGUUUUUUAAUUAUCUUCUAUUUUAACUACCUAAAUGUUUAUUUCAGCCUCAUAUCCGGACACAAAUAAUUAUAGAACUCUCCAUGCUACCGAAGAAUUUAAUAUAGUUAAUUAUCAACAAAUGACAGAAAAAAAAGUUAGAGAGUAUCGAUAUACAGUACAUUUUCGUAAUACGAAUAUACUAAAAUGUACUUAAUUAAGUGUUGACCUUAUUAUUGAAUAUGUACACUAAUAUAUAGGAAACGUACGUAAUACAUGAUCAAGUAUGAUAUUUUAUAUAAUAUACACCAACUAUAAAUUACUGUUUAUAUAUAAUUAGAACAAGAUUACUUGAUUAAACAUAAAGUAAAUUAUAUUAUAUAUUAACAUAGUUGACAUUUAAACAAAUACUUUUUUUUUUUUUUUUUGAGAAAAGGUAGCGAGCUACCCGCUUCAUUCAUUAAGCAAAAUGAACUAGGCGUACAGAUUGGAAGCAGCUGGGGCUUCCGGAGCAAGAGACAGGAAAGUAGAAAAACAGAAAACCAAAACAAGAAAAAAACUGAAAGAAACAAAGUAAAAGUAAAACAGGAAAGAACAGGCGCAGGGGCAGAUCACAGUAGAUUCCUCCAAGAUGUCACUAGGAGGUUGGCGCGGUCAAGAGCUCGAGCCGCAUCAGGGGCCUUUUGGUUGAAGAUAAAGUGAUUUCUUUCAUUCCAGGCAACCCACCAGAUUGCCGCCAAAGAAGUUAGACCUUCCGAUCUCUUUUGUGCGUCGUUAGUGUUGGAGAUAGUGGUCAUUUAAACAAAUACAAAUCAGAUAUGAUUUAAUUCAUUUAAACAGGCAUCAGGGGACAUUUAAACAAAUACAAAUCAGGAGCCGCAUCAGGGGACAUUUAAACAAAUACAAAUCAGAUAUGAUACAUUGAACAGGCAUUUUGAUCGUCGCUGUCCACCUCUAUUAACUAUUCAUCAAAUUCAUUUAAGUAUUGUAACAAUGGAAACUUGACCAAGCAACAAGGCUUUGGUUACGAGUAUUUCAAUGCCCGUGUAUGUAGGAUUUUGAUCAUGCAAAUUAAGUAUUCAUGAUUAAUUAGAACUUACACUUUGGUCAAAAAUUGUAUAUUGCACUAUAUUUAUAUUUAUAUUUAUACGUUAUGAUUGAUCCAAAGUAUCGUGACACGCACUUUGAUAAGUCAAAGAGUAUAUAUAUUUAUUUAUAUUUAUUAAAUUCAUUGUUAUAAAGUGUAAAAUUUUUUAUCCUAGCUUUAUGAUUUGGUCAACAAUUAUUGCACUAUAUUCUAUGCCACAUGAUUGAUCCAAAGUAUUGUGACAACUCAUCUUGAUAAGUUUAAGUGUAUAUGUUUAUUUGUAGAAUACGAAGUUAUUAAAUCGUUGUAAAGUGUAAACUUUAUAAAAAAAGUUCUCAAGUUACUCUAUUUUAAAUGGUACACUACAACAAUUCUAUUACACUACAUGAAUUAUUACAUCGAAAUUAAAUUAUUAUAGAAUAUAUUUUAUUGUAAUAAUUUGCGCUGUUGUGAUAAUACAACACCAUAAAAUUUAUAACAACAAUUCUUUUUGUUACAAAAAAUUAUGAUAAUUAAUAACCAUCAAUUAUAACACUAUAUAUUAUUGGGAAAAAAUGAAUUUCCAAUUGUGAUAAACUCUUAAAUGAGAUAUCAAAGGGGGGAUUGCAUUUAGACCAUUAUUUUCUAAUUGAAAGGGAUAGUGCUAAAGUGUUGAACUAUUUUUCUGUAGAAUUUUGUAAUAAAUAAGUUAUUUCACUUAAGAGAGAGAGAGAGAGAGAGAGAGAGAGAGAGAGAGAGAGAGAGAGAGAAAUAGUAAUGUCUUUAAAUACUCUGUUCUAUGUAUACACCCCUACCUGGUUGGGACUCUAUGAAAGAAAACCAAUUUGUUUCCUAAUUAUGAAAUUGGAGCUUAUAAUAAUACUAGGGGAUUUUUUGGUCGCAUGCAGUUAUAAUUGUACUACAGUUUUACCUGGAUGUAUAUCUAAAUUCAACGUUUGUUUUGAUACAUUUAAAUUCAACUACUAUAGUUGUAACUGCAUGAGAAAACUCAAGAAUUACGCCUAAAUUGCCUGCAGUUUCAACUAUAAUACUUUUAAAAAAUAAUUUAAAUAAAAAUAAAUUUACCUUCCUAAUAACCUUUUAAAUAGUGUUUUUUUAUCCUUUCCUACAUCGGGGGUAAUCUCUUAUUACCCCAUAUAUUAAAUGACAGAAAUACGUAAAUGCACUUCUCAACAGCCGGCAACCAAACAAAGUAUUUAUAGCUACAUCGCUUUUUAUUACAUGUAACCAAACAAAUAUAUAUAUAAUUAUAAUUGCUGUAUUUUCGCUGCAUGCAUCUCUAAUUACAAUGUAAUUAUAAGAGAAAUGAUUCGGUACUUUUUUAAAAAAAAAAUAAAAAAGAUCUUAACCGUUGAUUAAUAGAGGGUAAAAAUGUAACUUUAAUACUUAGCAGGUAAAAUGAUUAUUUUAUUCAAGGUUAGUUUGGUAAUUAAAUACUACAAUAUUUUAAGAAACUUUUAAUUGAGGUCCUAAAUCUAUGCAUUAAUUAGCACUAAUUUAGAAAAUUAAUUGAUUAACCAAAUUUAUGCAAUUAUUAGUCAUUAAUUUAGGAAUCUACUUUAAAUGUUUUAGUGCUUCUCAAAUUAUGCAUUAAUUUAAAUUAUAGAAAUUUUAGAAAUAGUUUUAUUUCUAAAUACGAUGAAUUUAAAUUUUAAAAAUUAAAUACUUAAAAUUUAAAAGUGAAAUUUAAAUUAGAGGAAUUUCAUAUUACUAUUUAAAAACUAAAUUUCUACCAAGAUUUAAAAUACAGUUUAUUCGCAUCAGUUUAAAACGUAAUGCAUAAAAAACUUAGAGAGUAAGAUUUCUACAACUAGAUUUCUCUAGAGGAAUUUCAUAUUACUAUUUAAAUUUUAAAUUCAAUGAUUUAAAAACUAGAUUGAACCGAUUGAUUUGACUGAUCAGACUUUGACCUAUUCUAUCAAGAAUCUGAUUUUAACCUAUUGAACCGAAUAACAUUAAGAACAAUUUGGAACCGGUAAAGAUAAUAAAUAUUUUAAACAGAAUGAUAAUUUAACUGUUAGAGCUAAUAAAUAUUUUAAAUAUAAUUUUAAACAUAUAAAUUAAAAAGAUUAGAAUUAUUGGUGAGAAAAAAAAUAGUUAGGAAUUUGAAUUCGAAUCUGACUAACAAUCACAAAACUUAUUUCCGAACUCGACAGAUUUCAAAAAUCUAUAUCCAAAUUCAAAACUGACCAAUUUUCCGAAACCCAAAACCAAACAUAAACCAGAAGACUAGAAUUCAAACAAUUAUUUCUAUUUACCAUAUUUCAAAGUAUUUAUAUGAAACUUAAAUUUUUAAAAUAUAAAUUUGAAUAUAAUAUUAAAUUUUAAAUUUAAAAGUGAAAUUUAAAUUAGAGGAAUUUCAUAUUACUAUUUAAAGUUUAAAUUUAAUGAUUAUAUUGUUAAAUUAUUUGAAAAUUUUCUUAUAUGAAAUGCCAAAUUAUGAAAGGAAAGAUAGAGAGAGUAAAAGGAAACAAAGAAAAAAUAAAAAUUUUAAAAAUAUAGUAAAUAUAAAAUGACUAAAUUGCCCAUGUAUUAAAAGACAAAAAUAUUCUUUUUUGAGGUACCUGGUAACCGGUACCUCUCCUAAAGUGACCUGCUAUUGCAGGUCACAAUUUAAAAAAAACUAAAUCCGAGCCGUUGAAUACACGUGAAUGAACGGUAACAAAAAAAAAAAAGUAUAGAAGCAUUACUCAAUUAUAAUUACGUCAAAUCAAAUGACCCCUAAUAUGCUAUGAAAUCAAAGUUUUUUGUAACUAUGUUUUGUUGGCUUAAAGAGCCAGCAUCCUAUCCUGUGGUGAAGAUCAAGGUGGGUCGAGUCAUAAUUAAAGUCUGUGAGCUGUGUGGUGGAGGCCGGGGCGAGCCAAGUCACAAUCGAGACUUGCUUUGUAUCUAUAUGUUUUAAGUGAAUGAAUUAUAUAUUUCUAACAACUCGAACUUUUGAAAUUAACGGUUAGCACCAACGAUCCUACAUAGUUCACUUAAAUUUAUAGAUGUAAAUGUUAUAUGAUUCAUUUUGAAAAAGCUUCCACUACAACAUCACAUUAUAGGCCUACUUAAAGGCGAUCAUUUGAAUAAUUGCAUUAUUAUACUAAAUUCCACUUAGAUGAGAUCAAGAAUGAAAUCAGAGUUUAAAAUACAAAAACAUUGUGGGUAUAUCUCUUGUGACAAAAAGGCACAUCCAACUUAUGCUACAUCCACCAUUAGUGGUAUUUGAAUGUUGCACCAUUCUCAAAAAGCAAAAUUUCAUGAGGACCCAUAAGCAAAUAAUAGAAAAAAAAAAUAUAGUGGUACAUGCUAUGAUUGGAAUAACCUGAUAAGGGGGUCACCAUCACUUAUUAUUUGAUGUUCAUGGCCCUAUAAUAUGUCUAAGAGGUGAGGAAUUCUAUUCUUCGAGUGUGUGCUUUAAAAAUGGUGCAAGGGCAUGUUGGUUUAUAUGAAUUUAGGCAAAAACCUACAUAAAUGGAAUCCAACAUAGGUAUUGGGGUGCUUUUUCAAGUUGAACUUGUGUUAAUUGAUGAUUCAGGGUUGAGAAUGUAUAUAUAACUUAAGGACCUGUUUGGAAGAGAAUAAUUAAAGUUCCAUAACUUUAGCUUAUGUUUGUAUCUCAUUAUUGGACACUACAAUUCUUUUUUUCUUGUGUGUGAGGCUAAAAAUUAAUUGGAUUGGACCGAACCGCGAGCGCGUAAACUAACACGUAAACCAACUCAAUGCGCCUACCCGAAACUUGGUUUUGCCACUUAAUUAUCACCUGCACUAGAUGCAGAAGCAUUUCCAUAGUAUAUUCCUAGAGGUGCCAAACACACUUCAAAAUUCAACUGCUAUUCUUGUGCCAAGUUGCAUGUUUCUUUUUUUUUUUCUUUUUUUUUUUCUUUCCUAACAAAAUACAAUCUAGGGUUUCAGUGGUUGUGAGGAGUCAGAGAUCACUUUAAUUUUUCCACAGUGAACACUUUGUAUCUCCUAUUCCCCUCCUCAUCUUUUCCCCACUAGAUUCAUCUAGAAUUUGGUGUAUAAGUGAUCAUGAGGGUGACUUUUUUUGAUGAAGUAAAUCGAUAAUUAGAUCAUAUAAUUUAUUUGGAUUGUUUCCUGUGUUUGAUUCUGCAAAACAACUGUUGUACUCUAAAAGGUUAAGCUUUUAGAGAACAGUGUUUAUAUAAUUUUAUAUUUAAUAGAUUCCAUAUAGAAAUUUAGUUGUAAUAUAAAUUUGAAUUUACAAAUAUUUUUGUUAAAAAAUCAGCUUUGUGUUAACAAUAAUAUAUAGUUCCAUAUUAGAUACAAAAUCAAACCUUAGCCUAUAUAUAAUGUAGCGGUUGCCUCUGAAUUUUGUCAUAUCAGAUACAAAAUCAUUCGAACCUUAGCCUACAUAUAGUGUAGAGGGUACAUCCAUCUAAAAGCAUAAUUUUAAAGGUUGAAAUUAAUAAUUGCAAAAGAGUCAAAAUUUUGUUUCCAAUCGAAUCUUUCUUUUCAUUGACUAUCAAGGGAAGCAAAGCAUCUUUUCUUUUUUUUUUCAUCCUUUCUUUGUCUUUUUGCCCCAAUUUAAUUGAAAUUCUAACAGGCCAAUGAACUUAGAUGGCUCCAACCCAGCAUGAACUUACAUGUUGAUCGGUUAGUCGCUUGUCGCAAAUUACUCUCCCCACUCGCACUGAUGCCAAUUCAAGUUUCGAGUCAAGAUAACAAAUUGAAGGAUAUGCUAUAAUUUGCUUGUGGCCCAAGUUAUUAUAUUUUGCAUGUAAGGGUUUGUUUGACUCAAGUGGAGCUUCUGUGCAAGUUUUGUUUAAGCGCAAUCGUUCACAAAACUACAAACUUGUUUCAUUAAAUUCAAAAAAAGCUUCCAAUCGAAUUCGAACAUCUGCUUUCAGCUCUUCAAAACUCAAUCUUCUUCUUCAUGAGAUACUAUAUUGUUGCUUCUUGCAGUAGAGAAACUGCUUCACAAAACAAAAAGCUUCACAAAGUGCAUGGUUGCGUGUGGUCGGAAAGAGAUGGAAGCUAAAAAGAGAUGCAAUUGCCGCUAAAAGAGAACUCAAGAUAUCAUUAACUAAUCUCAUUGUGGUCAGCCAUUUCACUGUACCCUAUUAGAGCUGAGAUCAAUGUCUUAUGCUAUAAUAUUCCUAAUAAUAAUUGUUAAUAUCCCACUAGGGAUUAGAACUCAAUACCCACCAUCUAAGAACAUGUCAACCAAGUAAUGCCACAUAAAAUAAUAACUAAGGAGAGGUUUAUUAGUGAUAUCCACUUGGUAGGGGGGAUGAUACAAAAGGCUAUGGUCAACCUCCCCUUAGCUUAGUGUUAAUAAUGAAGUGGAAGUUAAUUCCAUCUCUUAAAGCAAAGGUUGAUCAAAGUGGUUUGAUUUUGGAAAAGCUGAGCAUUUUCUUAGUGUUUGACAAAGGCUAAUGGUUUUGAUGAUAAGGGGAAUCACUUUUGGAAGCUUUUGAGGGGGCAAAUCAAUGGUGCUUAGUGAUGAAGGGUGUUUAUAGUACUUAGGUGGAGGGGGAAAUAGUGGUGAGUUGUGGUUUGUGGGGGUCUCACUCAUUUUGGGCAAUUGUCCCCCUUUCCAUUAGCUUAAUCAUGGCACUAAAUCUCAAGUCCCAUUAGAUAGUGCCUAGUGUUCUCUCAAUAAAAAAAUUAUCUUAGAAAAUAUGAUAUAUUAUGAUGGUUGACAUGUCUCUACUCUUUUGAUGUGUGACAUUAAAUCUUAAUAACAAAUCUAAUAGAUUUAAAAAUCUUGAACACCGAAAGUAUAAGUUACCAAUUUAGAAUUUCUAUUCUUACUACAUAGAAAAGCUGGUAGAGAGCUUUCAAAAAUUAUAUAUUUUUUAAUAGUAAUAUCAGGUAACACUUUAUUUUUUAUGUCAAAAUCCACCAAACUGAAAAUGAAGCUAACAGAGAGGUCAGAGCAUCGAAUCCUUGUAAGCUUUUUUCGGUGUUCUAAAUUUCAUAGUACAUAUGCUUUUUAUAAGGAGAGUUUUUUUUUUUUAAAAAAAAACUCUUUUAUAAUGAUUGGUUUUUUUUUUUUUUUGUGAGAUAGGAAGUACGCUACCCGUUUCGUUUAUUUUAUUUAGAAAUAAACUUAGCUGGAAAUGUGAAUCAACUAGGAUUUAAACUUUAGACCUCGGAUAUCAAUCAUUCUUUUCCACCUGCUCUAGGGACGGUCGAUUUUAUAAUGCUUGGGUUGAAAAUUAGGAUGCUUGAUUUUACUUGCAAUGCAAAGGCAGCUCAAUUUGCACGGCAUUUAAUUGACUAGUCAAUAUGAGAAUUUUGAAUCUUAACAAAGAAGGUUCAAAAAAAAAAAAGAAAAAAGAAAUUACUGUUUUUAGUCAAAGCUAUUAGCUUUUAUUAGAAACAAGAGAACUCAACAGAAACUCCUAGUAGAUUUCUAUUUUUUUAUUGUUUAAUUACGAGUGUUUCUUUUGUGAACAAAGAAAAAAAAAUACUAGCAAAUUAAAAAUUAUUUCUUUUAAGAUCUUUUACACACUUCCGACUACAAUACAAAUAGAACUAGAAAAAAAAAAUUAUAUGCAUUGAAUAUAAAAUAUUAAAAUAUUAUUCUCUCGCUAUUUAAAUUUUUAGAGACCGGACCGGAUCUCCGAUGCAAAUCAAUUAGGUGUUACACUUUAUCAAACUUUUAGAAUAAUUGGUUGCCUCAGACUAUGUAAAUAGGUAUUGAGGAAAUUUAUACACAAUUUCAAAAGAUGCGAGGGACAAUUUUAAAAAAGAAACAAGUUUAUUUUUAUAAAAAUUCUUAAUUAUUGAAUAGACUUGCCAAACCCAAACCCCAAUCAUAUUCAAGUGGGAUGUACUUAUGCUUAAGCCAUAUCCGGGUCGAAUCCAAACUCGACCCAAUAUUAUACCCGGUCCAAAAUCCCGAGUUAGGCCCAAAUCCCUUUAUUAUAUUAACAAUAUUAAGGCAUACCAAUUAUAAUUUGCGCCCGGCCCAAUAUUUAGUGGUGAAGUAAUUUUUGCUCGUAAAUGCCCACUUUCAUUCUUUGGUUCGCCGUAAAUUAAGCUCGGCCGUCGUAAUUAUCUCGACCUCGAUGGAUAGAAAAAUCAAUUGCAAAAUAAAAGAUACAGAAAAAUAAUAAAAAAAAAUUAGUGUGUUUUCAAGGGCAUUGAUUUUCUAUCGAACAAACAGCACUGGAAAAAUAACUUUCAUCUGAAUUGAAAAUUAUCGUAUACCUGAAAAUUACUUACGGAUAAACGAACAUGUCCUCGAAAAUGAAUGCUCCAUAGUUACAAAAUUUCGACCAUUCGCGCGGUCGGCGCGAAGCAAAUAAAUCUCACAAACCAAUUUACUGGGGAAAAAAUAAGCAAUGUAGCUCUCUCUCUACCUUCAUCACUGCUCAACAUUCAUAGAGAUGAAACAUGUGGGCUCAGGGAAAUUAUUGUGAGCACCUAAGCAUGCAGUGUAACCAGGAACUGUGAACAUCAGAAGGGGCAAAUGCAUGCACCGCAGUUACGUUACGAUCCGCCUCUUCGGUGAAUUGCGAGCGUGAAAUAUAUGAGAAUCAUUGUCCCAAUACUCGACCUGUCGCAAAAUUAUGUUGCAUUAGUCCUAUAUUUUGAGAUCAAUAGUUCGACAGAAAAGUUACAAUAAUAUACUAGAACAGUUAGUGAGUGAAUAGAAAGGGAAUUUGUCUCAGGCAAAAUAGUCAUGGGGGGACAUGACCACAUGAGAAUCGAGGGACAGGUUUUCGAUGGCCGAGAUCAGAUAAUGCCAACUCUAGUAAAUAAACAGUUACGCUGACAAAAUCAGACAAGCAUGGUAAGCGAAUAGUUUCGCGAAUUGUUCGCAGAAUGAUGCUUCCGAAAGCGAGCACCACGAAUCGCAAUUGCGUUCGACUAUCCAAAAUGGUGAGUAAGUUAACACUGUCCACCAGUAGAAAUCUUAAGAUUCCCCUCUGGCAUUGAAUUUGCCAAAUCUAGAUCGCAGCAGCAGUGGUCCUUGGGAUCAGAAACUCUAGGCCCAGAUACACAAUUGGACCGACAGUGACACCAUUUUUCGUUCUCGUCGGGGACUGUUCCUAAAUAUUAUACAUCCAACAUUUCUGUAUUCAGAACAAGAACAAAGUUGAGGAUGCAUACAGAGUUGCAAAGAUGAGGAGUAUUUUGCGAGGGUGCAUUGCUGCGAAGCGACUAAAUCUCCGACUCCUCCCUUCCCCAGAAUCAGUGAGAAUAGGGCUAGUGGCCGCAGAUUGCGCGGCCAGGAUAGCUUUGUUCGGCAUCGAAGGUAGCUUCAGCAGCUCCAACUGCAACGGCACCACUGCAACGAGAAUUACAUUCAAAAUGCAUGAUAUUUACUGUUGUUGCAAAUUCAAAAGCACUGCUUUCGAGUUUCGACUUAGAUAAGAUUAAGAAAGAAAAAAGGAGACUAGCCCACAAUGGCGUACCUUUAACAAUGAGUCUUUUCGACGCGUCGUCUGUUUCUUGCUCCUCGCCACCCCGCCUCUCCAUGCGGUUGGAACCCUUACGAGAAAGAGCUCGCUGCGAAACGAUUUACAUUAUCUAAAGCGGCACUCUCGCAACGGCCAUAAUGAAUCUACACUACACAGGAAGAGCAAAAUGAAACUUACGGCCGCUUUCGGAUUCGCAGAGCAGCAUAUUUCCGGUGGCUGCGCCGGACCGUCAAUGUCCAAAACCACAUUGCUCGCAUUGUCCAUUGCUGUUAUCUGAUUCUGCAACAACGCAGAGGCGUAAACAAUCAAUUGAAACAAGAAAAAUCACCAAUGAAUCUGAGUUUGAUAACAACUAAAGUAUGUAAAAAGAAUAUAAAUUCAUCGGCAUAUUAUUAUAACCAUUAUAACUGCAUUGGACGGUUCCUCGCAUAAAUUUGUGAUCUGCUACUCAAUUUGCACCAAAAUACUCAUUGAAAAGACAAAGAGGCCAUAGUAAUUGUAGGGCCCUACCACAUUUACCACAUAAAACUAUACUAACCGGCAUUAAAGCCUCCUCCAUUUCCGAAAUUUACCGCGUAAAAAAAUCCAAACGCGAAAAAUUUACUGCAACUGAUAAUCAAAAAGAAAGAUCUGAUUAGAACAUUGAAGGGCAUAAUUCAUGAGUAGUCCCUGAGCAUAGGGCAAGUCAUGCCAUUGUAAGAAAUUAUGGAAGUUCAGGGACUAACCUGCUUAAAGAGACAAAAUUAAUGACCAUAUUACCAUUAACCAAAAAUUACAGGGACUAUAAAUGCAUUUGUAAACCCUUUUGAACUAAUGAGGCAUUGGGACAAAUUCCUCUAUUUGUAGAAUUUUUUAACUUACAUUGUUUGUUUCUUUUUUUGAUUCCUCACUAAAUAAGAUAUAUAUGUUAGAUGUGACUCGAAAUCUACUAUCGAUUCAGGUUUGGGUUUACGACUCGCCGACAGCUUCGCGGUGCGACCAAUUUGGAAAAGAAAAUUAUGGAGGAAAAAUGAAUGUCCGUUGUGGGUACGGAUCGGAUCUGAAACCUGUUAUGAGUUUUUCUUUUUUCGUUUUUGCCCUAGAGGCGUGUGAUUGUGAUCGGUUGUAACUGGAAGCACAUUGUAUUCCCUUUUUCGUUCCAUAGUGAAGUUCUCUCCUCCCUCGCCCGUGGUUUUUUCCUGCAAAGGAUUUUCCACGUAAAUCUGUGUCUAUUUAUUUUCUGCUUGUGGUUUGAUUGUUUUUGUGUUCGUCAUUUCGUUUUCGUUUGUGCGUUUGUCGUAACAAUAUAUUCAGGUAUAAUAACUAAACUGUGAAAUAAGGCUUAAUUGUUGAAUAAGUUUGAACAAAAACACAGCUGUAUCUAACAGAUUUGGAUUCCUACAACAAAUUUCCAUUCUAUUUCUUUUCUUUUUGGGCUUAUUUGAAGAAAAAAUAGUUAAAAAUGUGUAUUAAACUGAAAAUACUAACAGCAAAACAAAAUUGAAAAACCAUACUUUUUUUUAAAAAAGUAAUUCACAAUAGAUGAAAACCCAUUAUUAUAACACAAAAAAAGAGAAAAUGUGAAUUAAAAAUCAAAAACUUUAAAUGUUUCCUAUUAAGAAAAGGCAAAAAAAAACCAUUUUUUCAUUAAAAAAACAAAAAAAAAAGGAAAAACCAAUGCAGGUAAUGAAUAAAAUUACUUGUUUCAUACCUCAUUCAAUAAUCCAUGUUUAAGGAUGAGGAGAAAUGGAACUAAGUAUAGAGAGAGAGAGAAAGUUAGAGAGAAAAGCAGUUUUUAGAGAGAGAAGCAGUUUUCAAUGCAUUUGGCAAUUGUUGUGGCUUCAGACUCGGACUACGAGUAUGUCUAAAUUAUUCUAUACUCUCGUCGUGUGCGCGUGCGUAUCUUAUACACCGUAACUUAUAUUUAAUAAUUUAUUAUUAUUAAAUUAAAAUUGUAUUAAUAAUUACACCGUAUAGAAAUUUAUGAAUUUGUACAAAAAUAAGUAUAAUUUGAUUUAUACAAAUUUGGUACUCAAAAUUUGUAAAUUGUACUAAACAGCAAUAUAUGUACACAAAAUUAAUUGGUGUAUGAGAUAUGCUGGUACGCAGGGUAUUGAUAUGCUGGUACACAGGGUAUUGGGACUGUCCCUCUCAUUUUUGCAAGGACACCCCUCAACAUCUCUCUAAUUAUGGAGGCAGAACAACGAAGGGAGUGGGGUUAAAAUAAAAAGAAAAGGAGAGUAGUGGAUCCACCUGCAAACAUUUGCACCGGACACCCCCUCUUUUCUCUAAAAUAUUAUGUAUAUAGUUUUAAAUUUUAUAUUCUAGUUCAUAAAAAUUCUUUGGAUUUUGAUAGAUAAAUAAAAAGUAAGAGUUCUUGAAUAAAAAAGGUGUAAGAUUUACACCGAAUUAAUUAAGUUAGAUAAAGUAUUUAAAAAUAUUAUCAAACUCAUUGAUGAUUCCAUCAAAUUUAAUAAUCUUGAUUACUUUUUAGUAGAAAGAUAACUAGAUUAAUUUAUCGAUUAAUAACUGAUAUAAAACUUUCUAUGUUACAAGAAUAGAUGUUAAAUAGAAAAUAAGAAACUGAGAGGGUGUGAAUGAAAAAAAAUUAGUUGAAGAGACUAUCGCUGAUGAAUUGUAAUUUCAUGUGCGACUUGUAGCGGAUUAGUUUUAUUUAUUUAAUUUUUAGAACCAUAUUUAACAUAACAUUAUACGAAUUAAUCAUACGGCUUAUCAAACUGUCUGAAUAAAAACUCGUAAAUGACUUUUCCAGUGAAGUCGUACCUCAAACAUUGGAUUCGAAAUUUCAAACGGAGGCACGAUUUGAAGUUUUAAUUUUUCUUUCUUUUUUGAUUAGAAAUGUGUCAGGCUUUGCUAUUUAAGGCCUUAUUAAGAUGCAGGGCAUUUAAAACCAAAACUUAACCCCUGUUUUAUUGGGUUCAGGCCGGUCGAGUCACGUUGAUUGGGUCGAUUAUUAAUCCAAGUUCACGAUGAAUUGCAUUAAGCGUCUUCAAAACUUUCCUUCAGAUUCAGUUUUGAAUCCUAAUCACAACUGGAUAAAGCAUUUUCGCGAAUGGCGAAAUUACAACCAAUGAAUGAGCUCAACUUGUGCUGCAGCUCAAAGAUUAAAGGUUAAAGAUGCAGUUUUACUCGAGCAAAUUUUUAGAAUCAAACGGAAAUUUCAAAAGCUCAAAGCUAAAUGUGAAAGAGCAACUGCACAACUAUUCACUGGCACUGUUUUACCUGCUGGUACAAUUAAAUUUGCACUAUUGUUAUACAUUAUACAUUACUAUUAUUUGUCACCAACAUGGUGAAUUAAGAAGUUAAUAUUUUAAAAUAGUUUAAACCCAAUCAAUCUCCAGUUCCUUGUAGAUCUACUACAGUUGUCAUUCCCUGAACUGGGCCCUCCUUUCUCAUGUAACUCACAUGAGAUUCUCUCAUUGGAGAAAUUUUCGCUUGAACCUAGGGCGUGUUUGGUUCAUCUAUUUUAAACUAUGAAAUCGGAAUGAAAUUCAUUGAUUUCGAUUGUUGCCGUUUGUUUUAUAGGAAUCGGAUUCCGAUUUCCAUUCCACUCCGGAAUGGGAAUGACAAAAUUCAUUUAUGAUCCAAUUCGGCUUUAAAUCCCGGAUUGGUUCAUUCCAAAGUAAACUAUUCAAAAUCCUCUUUCAUCAACACCUAUCUCGUCUCCCUUCAUCACUUUCCUCUUUCUUAAUCAAAACCCUCUCUAAAAAAUUUUAAAUUUUCAUUCCGAUUUUCAUUCCAAUAAUAAACCAAACAUUUUUGGAUGAUUCGUCAUUCCAUUUUCUAUUCCAAAGCAAUUCAAUUCCAUUUUUCAUUCUUAUUUCAAUCAUGAACCAAACAUGCCCCUAGUGUAACUGUACAUCCUAUGCAGUGCAUUUUAUGAUAAAUAUUUUAAAAUAAAAAUUUAUUCGGAUAGAUUUGAUUUAGAACAGAUUGCAAAGUUCAUAAGAAAACCUAUUGGUAAUUCAAAAUAUAUGUAAAAAUUUGUCAGAACUAUACAAUUUGAAAGAUUGAUCUAUUUAAAAAAAAACGGUUCAAAAAUAUAUUUAACUAAUAAGACAAGAUGCGUGUUAAAUUUAUCUGUUAAAUGGUAUAGAUGCGCAUUGGAUUCACGACCUCACGAACAGGUCGGUUGUCAUGCCAUGUUACCAACAAAUAAAUAUAAUAAAAUAAUGAAUCGCGACAACAUAAUACAUGUAAUAGAUUAAACUCUUGAUUGAUUUUCAAACUACUAUAGUAGGGUUUUAGUAGAGUGGUGCAUGAGAUGUAUGCAUACACCUGGUGCGCCCAACAGUUUUAUGCCCACAUCACCGGUGUUUGGCGCACGUGGUAGGCAAUAAAGCGAGUCGACUCAUUAAUUGUACUCGUCCGUGCCCACGCCGACCCUCGUGCACCGGGUCUAAUAAAAAAUUGGGUCUAAUCAGCUCGCACGUACGCCCUCUGCAUCUCCACCGUCGAACACGAACUCCCGUGGCAACAGAUCCACAUGAUCUGCGCCAGCUGGCAACUGGUGGUGGGGGCCACAAUUCGGGCCCUCGUGGGGCCCACCCCGGUUGCAAAAGAGACUGAAAGUUGGACCAUGCAUUGGACCCCCGUGAGAAUAGUGGGACCCACAAAUUUACUUGACUGCUUGAGGGCGGGUAAAAUUGCACGUACACCCUUACACCUAUUCAUAAUCAUGUGUCCUUCCUCAGAAAACUCCCUCUCUUUAUCAGCUGAUCAUGAAAAUUCAAAUUUUUAUUUAAAUAACUAUUUUGCCCUUAUCGAUUUACUAUAUCUUUUAAACUUUAGUUCCUUUUCCUGCUUUGUCUCAUCCAAAUUGUAAACACAUUUCUCUCCAAGAUAUAUUUUGUAAACUAUAAAUUGUAAAUCAAAUAAUAAAUGAGACUUAAAAAAUUGAUAUUUGAUUCUUUAUUAGAGAAGUUUUGGGGAUACAUGUGCAAUUGCUCCUAACUAAUAAAGGUUCUUUUUUGGGAGUGAUCUCAUUUAUAUCCUGCGCAGGGAUAGUAGCUAAGAGCUUUAAAUUCAUUCACCCAUUUCCUGAGACACUUCUCAUUUAAUCCUCUCUCUCCUCUUCAUUUUCUCCAAUCUCUCUCUCUCUUUCUCUCUAGAACCAUCCCUUUCUCACACUCUACAUUUCCUCUAUCAAAACCCUACUCUCUCACUACCAUGGGGAUCUAAAUCCCCAUUUGUCCCCCCCGCCCCCCCAUGCAAAGGAAAAGGGGAAAAAAAAAAAGCUGUGAUUUUUAUGGACCCGAGGAGUAAGUAGUAAAUAAAUAGAAAUUGAGGGGGAGUACCGAGAAAAGACCCCCUCAAGGCAUCUUCUUCUCCGUUGCACCCUUUUUCACGUGGUGGCGCGCGAAGCGCCAAUCUCUUCUUCGUCUUCUUCUUCCUCCUCUCAAAGGCGUCGCCUUUUGGGGACAAUGUGAGCUCGAUCGAGGCCGAAAAUGGAAAAAAGGAGCCAUUUUUAGCUGCUUCCGAGCGAUUUUCCCGCCGCCUAAUGUCCAUGGAGCUCGAGCCCAUCUCGCCGAGGUGGUUGUUCCCCUUACUCUGUUUCUUGGUCCUCUGCGUCCCCAAAAGCGCUUCCGGAACCAGCGACGCAGAAGCGCUUCUGGCGCUGAAGGCCUCGCUCGACAUCUACAACUCCCUCCCAUGGCGACGCGAGGACGCUGACUCCCUCUGUUCCUCGUGGAAGGGGGUAAAAGAGUGCUCCGCUAAUGGCCGAGUCACGAAGCUCGUCUUGGAGUAUCUCAGCCUCACGGGGGCGCUCAAAUCCGAGACCCUAGCUCCUCUCGAUCAACUCCGCGUCCUCAGCUUCAAAUCCAACGCGCUCUUCGGCCCCAUCCCCGAGCUCUCCCCGUUGCGCAAUCUCAAAUCCCUUUACCUCAACAACAACCGCUUUAAUGGCCGAAUCCCCCCAACUCUCGUCGCCCUCCACCGCAUAAAGGUCGUGGAUUUCUCCAAUAACCUCCUCUCGGGGCCCAUUCCCAAAACCCUAGCCUCUCUCCCGCGCCUCUACGCUCUCUUCCUCCAAAACAACAACCUCACAGGGGAGAUCCCUCCCUUCAAUCAACAGACCCUUCGUUACUUCAAUGUCGCGAGCAACAACCUCUCAGGUACGAUCCCCGCUACGAAAACCCUCGCCCGCUUCGAUUUGAGCUCUUUUGACAACAACCCAAAUCUCUGCGGCGCCCAAAUCCAUCGCCCCUGCUCUAAAAACCCCGCCGUUGCGCCUUCUCCGAGCCCAAAUCCCCUCGUCUCCUCCUCGGUCAACUCGUUCCCUCCCCGCGCCGCCUCCCGCGACGGGAGGAGCGAAAAGCGUCGCCGGAGGCGGCGGCGGAGGCUCAUCGCCAUUGUCGCGGGCUCCGUUGCGGGGGCUCUCGUGCUCUCCCUCUCGGCAUUGGCGCUGCUCGCGUGGGGCUCUCGCAAGACGAGGAAGAUGGCGUCGUCGGCCAAUGGAGGGAGAGGGGUCGGGGGCGGGAGCAACAAGGUGACGGAAGGGGGAGGCGAAGGAGGGGGAGGAGGGGGAGGGGGAGGGGGCNGUGCUAUAUAUAUAUAUAUAUGUUGUUGUUGUGACUCUUGACCUUAAAUUUAAAUAAGAAACUAGACUAAGCUAGUGCUAGAAAAAAUAGUAUAAAAUUAAUAACUUGACCUUGUGUUUUGUUCUAAAUGAAAGGUUAAACUCCUAAUAUUCUGGUUACUUUUGAGGCUAAUUUAAGCAGGUUUUUUUUUUUUUUUUUUUUUUUAAUUUUUAAUUUUGUUGUUUUUGUACUUCGUUCAAGAACAUGGCUGAUAUACAUUCGGGUAUAAUGUGGGUAUUAGUGGGUAAAUGCGAUGGGUUCCCUGAUAGGAACUGAUAAGCCCCAAUUUGUUUGAGAUUUCAAUUAGUUUGUUUGACCCAAAAAAUUGCCUCUAAAUGCUGUUUUUUUUUUUUUUUUUUUUUUUUUUUUUUUUUACUCGUAUAGGUCCCUUACUUUUUAUCGUCUUAUAUAUGAGUCCUAAAAUUUCUAAAUUGCCCGCCACCCCACCCGCCCACCUGAAAUUUUCGUAAAAGGGCAAUGAGAUCCCUUACGUUUUUGUGUUGGUUAUAUUUAAUUUUUAUUAAAUUAAAAUAGGUCAAUUUGAAUAAAAAAAUUUACUAAAUUUACUUUUUUACAGAAGUAAAUUAAUUUUUUUAGAUUUUGAUGCUCUCGUUUCGUUUUUCUCAAGUAGUGUUAAUUUUAGAAGAGGAUUCAAAAAUUUUGAAGCUGAAGCAGCAUAAAUCAAACUUUUGACGUAUUAAAACUUCAUUAUUUAUUAGUUAUAAAUAUCCAAAUUGUCAAAUUCGGGGUUCAUUAACAUUCUACAUAAAAACCAAAAAGAACUUUUCUCAAAACAAAAAAAAAAACCAAAAAGAAAAAAAAAAUCAAAUUAUCGUUUUUUAAUAAAAAAUUAGGAGCUGAACCUUCUAAAAAGCUAACAUUUCACCUACCUUAAUUUAUCGCUCACAAAACACAGUAAGAGGGCGACCUUCGGAAUAUUAAAUAUAGCAAGGGGUUUUAUAAAAAAAUAUAUGUCGUCGUUUUACUAGCUCCGUGCACGGAGGAAUUCUACACUAUCACACUUGCACAACGUCAUCAAUUAACAAGCCAAUCAAAUUCAUUUUUUUCAAAUAAAAGUACAUUAAAAAUAUUUUUUUACAAUUAUGAUGAGACAUAUUUUUAAAAAGAGAAAUUUGAUUGGUUUGUUACGCCAUGUCACCUAUAUACCUGUUGCAUUUUAGAAUUUUUUCCGUGCGCCGGAAUUUACCACGUUGGACGGGCCCGCUUCACUUGCCAGCGUGGCAAACCGUGAUAUAUAACACGGUAAAUACUGAAUUCAAAAAAAAAAAAAACAAUUCUCUCGAUGAGCGCGCCAUAACGCGAUACCUGUAAUACUAAUCAUAAAAUAUUUAGUGUGCAGAAUUUUUCAACUCACGAUAUAAUCGCAUCAAUAAUUUACUAUUGACACGAAGAGUACAAACUACAGAAACUGUGUUGCCACCAAAUACAGAUAAUCGACAGAUAAAAACAUUCAAAUUUGUGCCCAACAUUUCAAACGAAUCUAGUCAUUUUUUUUUGUCAGUGGCUGGUGGCUAGAUUUACUGUACGAGUGUGUUAUUAGUAACAUAUUAAUAUCAUUAUGUUUCCUUUAUCUAUAUGCUUAUUUUUUUUUUUUCCUUUACAAUUAUUUGUACUAUAUAUUUUUUAAAAUCUUUUUAUGUUAAAAUUGCUACUUUGACCGAGGUGUGUACGCGGUCAAAAAAGAAGUAGCCUGUGGUGUGUCCCUGUCCAUGUGUUUCCAGGGGAAUCCUCGCUAGAAACAACGUGCUCGUGAGAAGGGAUAAUUUGUACCGUAGCACUCGAUCGGCGCGUCGCUGAGCUCGUUUUCACUGUAAACAGUUGCUUAUCACGGUGCAGUAGUGUUGUUUCUGAUCGUCCCAGGCUUUAAUUUGCGUUUCGGUGGCUCGUGAGAUUCGUAUGAUAGUAAAAUAUUCAAUUAACUUUAUGUUCAGAUUUUUAGAAAAAGAAGAAUUAAAAUGGAUGAAACAAUCGAUGAAUUUAGUAGAUUGAUUGAUAACUAUUGAUUCAUUUUUGUUUCUGUUUUCUUUUUAUUUAUUGAUGUGCCUGUUUUUUUUUUUUUUUUUUCAAAAAAAGAAAAAAAUAAUGUUUCCGUGCUGGCAGGUUCGCGGCCCUCGGGGAGCGGGAAGCCCCUGCAUUGGACGUCGUGCCUGAAGAUCGCGGAGGACGUCGCGACGGGGCUCCUAUUCCUGCACCAGCAGUCGCCUCCGGCGGCCCACGGCAACCUCAAGUCCUCGAACGUCCUCCUCGGCGCCGACUUCGAGUCCUGCCUCACCGACUACUGCCUCGUACCCUCCUUCCUCCCCGCCACUGCCGCCGACUCCUACCUCGACAAUACCGCCACCGCCGCCGCCGCCUCUGGUCCCUCUUCCGCCGCAUCCCUCUUCUACCGCGCUCCCGAGACCCGCCGCCCCAAUUCCAGCUCCUCCUUUACCCCCACCGCCGAUAUCUAUAGCUUCGGAGUUCUCCUCCUCGAGCUCUUGACAGGUGUGGAGAUAAUCAUCUUAUUAGAAAAGUUUCAGCGGCUAGAGAACGGUAUUUAAUUAUUUGGGCGGGCUCUCUCUUCAGGUGUACAAAUAACCGCCGAGUAACCGCUAUCGGUAGAAAUGAAUAUUAUAACCUUUGGAAGGGCUCAAACAUCCAGCGCGUAGAAAUUUCUUGCGCAUGGAGCUACAGAAAAUUUGUGCCCUCUCAUGCAACAUGUUCUGAUCGCGAGCCCAACACGAAGAUUUGAAAUAAAUUAGAGAAUAACUAAGCUUGAAAAGAUUUGGAUAUUGUGUGAAAUAACCGUUUUUUAUAACUGCAGGCAAGACGCCCUUUCAAGAUUUGGUAGAGGAGCACGGCGCCGACAUCCCCAAGUGGGUCCGGUCGGUCCGCGAGGAGGAGACAGAAUCCGGUGACGACCAGGCGGCGGCAGCAGCAGCCGAGGAGAAGGUAGGGGCAUUGCUGAGCAUCGCGGUGGCGUGCGUAGCGGUGGAUCCGGAGAAAAGGCCAGCCACAAAGGAGGUGCUGAGGAUGAUACGGGAGGCGCGGGCGGAGUCGAUGGCGGUGUCGUCGAACAGCAGCGACCGUUCGCCCGGCAGGUGGUCGGACACGGUGCAGAGCUUGCCGAGGGAGCAGGGAUCGGAGAGUUUCGCCGGGAGAGAUUGAUCGACGGGGAGGUCAUUUUAAACUUUCUCUUCGAUCGAAAUUUCGCUUUUGAAUUGUAGAAAAUGGUGUGUAAAUGUUUGCGAUUUAGAAGAAGAAGAAUUAGCUGCUAGGUUGAAUGAAAAAUUUUCAUUUUAAAUCUUUAAUUCAAAUUGAAACAAUAUUUUCUACUUCCCUCAGAUUUCGGUCACUUGCAUGAAAAUUAACACACUCCAAUAAUAGGAGUAUCAUAAGAUUGAUAGAUAUUCAGGGGCUUUUUGUAAAUUGGUUAACCUAAUUCAUUAAAUGUUUUAUUUAAUUUCUGAAAAGGACAUUGAACAGCUACUAACUUAACCCAGCUUCACCCAGAAGAUGCUUGUGAACAAGUAGCUUUUUAGGCAGCAUUACUAACUUAGAAAGCAAAAGGAAAAUUUGCCAAAUUAGAAAGCACUUUUUAGAUGCAAACACAAAAGGAUGAAGCAACCACUUAACUCACAUUAUUGGUACUCACAAUCUUAUCAUGUAUAUGUUUUUUUUUUUUCUUUUUUGAAUUUGUCAUAUCACUGUAUUCAUAUCUCUGUAUUGCAAUUUGCAUUCCAUAUUCAUAUAUCUGCUUCGUAGAGCAAGAAUUACUGAUUGAAAGCCAUUAAGAAACAUAAUUAAGGUCUCUCAAUACAGAGCCUCCAUUUUUUCGUGAGGUUAUAAAUGCAUGAAAAAGCAUGCAUUGAAAUAGAACCUUUUUUGUUUUUUUUUUUUUUUAUUUUUGCUGAGCUGCUCUGCAUGCUUCUAUUUCAAUCACUGCUGUUUUAUUGUUUAAAAUUUGCCUAAUUAAUUCCAACUGAUCAGUAGGUAUCCAGCAUUUGAUCUCAGCUUAUUUAGGAUGCAUUUUGAGCAAAAUAAAACAAUGUUAAUGAGAAGAAAAUCUGAGGAAGAAAAUAUUGACUAGGCUACGUAGUUCUCUUCUUCAACUCAAAAACUAACAUAAAACAAAACAUUACAAUGGAUAACAUGGCAAAUUAUUACAAGAUACAUGUGGUGCAGCUGUGGUGACAAAUUUCAUGCAGAAUUAAAACAAGAAACACACACAAAAUAAGCAGGAAAUAAGAAAGCAGUAAGAUAACAUAAAUACCUUAGGUGCCAUUAGCUUACUCCUUCAAGAAAGUGGCUUUUGUCCAGCAAUUUUUCCUUUCAGCCUCCUCCAACUUAAUACUACCAUCACGUAUAUGUCAUCGAAUAAUUUAUCAGUCAUCUGAAAAUAAGCAAUCCUCCACGAUCUUCGGAAUAAGAAAGCAAUGUACACACCCCAUAAUCCUGUCGCAAAUCCUGUUCCCAUUCCAAGAUAUAACCAUAUUGUCUCAUGAGUUCCGUUGUUGUCGUCUCUUUGAGGAUAAGGGUUUGUAUCAUCUUUGGAACAGUUGUUUUUGGUAGGAGGUCCACAAAGAUAAUAAUUGCCAAUGUAUAUUGACGGAUCGUUAAGUCGGUCCAAUUGACUCCCAGUUGGAAUCCACCCAGAUAAGUUGUUGUAAGAUAGAUUCAAGCUGCUCAAGAAGGUCAAAUCCGAUAAGCUUUGCGGAAUAGCGCCUGAAAGCUCAUUCAGCGAGAGGUCAAGAGAUUCCAAGUUAAGCAUGUCGCCUAUGUUUUUCGGUAUCCAUCCCGUCAAAUGGUUUCUUGAUAAGUUCAAACUCUGCAACAUGCGAAGUGCGACUAUUUCUUCUGGGAUUUGCCCACUCAAAUUGUUUCCUGAGAUAUCGAUAGUCUUGACAAGAUAGAGGAUGGUAGAGUACCGAAAUUCAUUCCUUUUCAUUACAAGAAGUAAAUUAUCCAUAAAGUUGAAUAAAAUAUCCGAGAUUAGGUUAAUCUUAUAUUCGUCUGGAUUAUAAUUGUUUGCCGAUGGAUGAAUCAUAGCACUAAAAUUACCAAAAGAAUGUGGUACCGGUCCCGACAGAUUGUUAGCCGCAAGAUCCAAGACAUGGAGGUAUGGCAGUUGUGCCAACACUUCUGGAAUGUCGCCGGAAAACAUAUUUGAUCGCAACUGCAGAACUACUAGAUUCUGCAGGUUCUCACCCAUCCAUGUUGGAAUUUUUCCUGACAAUUUAUUUCUGCUAAGAUCAACAAAAGUCAGAUGCUUGCAGUGCUGCAAAUUCGCAGGGAGUUGCCCGUGGAAGCGAUUAUCGUUGAGAUGUAACGAUUUAAGCGAGCUCAACAAGCCAAUGGAUGCUGGAAUUUUUCCGGUAAGGUUAUUGUUUGACAGAUCCAAAAUUUGGAGGGACGAAUUUUGCCAACACCGAGGUAGUUCUCCGGAUAAAGAGUUGUUCGAUGUAUUCAGAAUUUUUAGAGAAUCCAAUUCACACAUGUAUGAUGGGAUACUGCCAUUAAACUUAUUGCUUGACAAAAAUAAAAAGCCUAACUGUGAAAUAUUCAAGGAUAGUGGAAGCGGUCCGGAAAGAGAAUUUUCAGAGAGGUCUAACAUGUGCAGACUCUUUGGCAGAGAUGGUAUCAGACCUUCGAAUCUGUUGGACUUCAAAACAAGAAUCUCUAGAUCUUUGAAUUGCAAAAAUACUGGCAAUUGGCCUACAAGUUGAUUAUAAGAGAGAUCUAUCGUAACUAGUGACAAAUUCCACAACCAUUCAGGCACGGUGCCCGCGAUGCUUGUGUUCGAUAAAUCCAAAUAGAAAAGUAGCGUCUGCCCCCGGAGCCAUGCCGGAAACUGCGAGCCAACCAGUUUACAGGAACCUAAAUUAAGAACCAGAAGCUGAAAUGGAGGGACCCAGUUGUCACCCACGUUGACGAUUAGAGAAUUGGAGGAGAGUAAAAUUCCCACUAAACUUGAUAGGCUAGCGAGAUGAGCUUCGGAUACGACACCGUGCAAGGAGUUAAAAGAAAGGUCCAACCAAACUAAGUUCGAAAGGUUCCGAAUUCCAAAAGGAAUAGGUCCAACUAGUGAGUUGUUACUUAGAUCAACGUAGCGCACAUUCUCCAGCUGCUCUAGCCAGCCGGUUAAAUUCCCGUGAAGCUCGUUAUUGCCCAAAUCCAACAUGUCGAGGCUCUUCCACGAGCAGCGCAGCGUCCCUACCACCUCUGCAAUAUCUCCGUCCAUGCUAAGAGAGUUCAGGUCUACAACUUGUAAAUUACACAAGUUUCCAAGCGAUUCAGGUACGGUACCGUCAAAAUAAUUUUCUCCUAGGUACAAGCUGCUAAGAGAAGUCAAGUUUCCGAGUGCGUCGGGGAUCUUUCCAUAAAAUCCACCGUUUUCUAGAUCAAGAUAGGAAAGGUUGGUAAGGUUCCACAACCAUGUCGGUAAGGCGACAUUGAAGGGGCCAUUUUCUCUGAGUUUAAGGAUUCUCAGAGAUGUAAAGUUGACAUAAGACAGAGAGUUUGGAAUGCUGCUUAGACUACAAUCUUCCAAAGACAACUCUGUAAUGUACUUCAGCUUAUUAACUUCUUGCAACCAAUCAGCAGCACUAGACAGAUCCAUAUAGCUCAUGGCGAGGUAUCGGAGAGAAGAUAAAUGAGAAAGCCACGAAAGGUCGCGAGUGCUGGGGCCACUUGGAAAAGCGUUUUCUAAGCCAAGAGCGUGGAGACGAGUGAGAUUGCCUAGCCAAGGAGGUGCUACACCUAUGAAGAAUGACCCGGAGAGAUCGAGAAAGCGAAGGUUGAAGAGAUUUCCAAGUUGCUGAGGUACUCUGCCGCCAAAGCCAGAAUUNUAGGAGAGAUCGAGAUGCGUCAAAUUUUUAAAUGAACCGACGAAUUCCGGGACGGUGCUUCCAGAGAAAACGUUCGAGCUAAGAUCGAGGUGAACUAAAUGAUGUAAAACAGCCAAGGAAGGACUAACCUCACCGAGCGGAUCGUACAGCCAUGAAUUUCGCAGGCUGAGCUUCACGACGUGCCCGGUGUUGCUGUUGCAGACUACUCCCCUCCAACCAAUACAACAAUCCUGACCUGCCCAUGAAGACAAGCUCUCCUCCGUGUCGAUAACAUCGGCUUUGAAGGCGAGGAGCGCGCUCCUUUCGAUCUCGAAGCACCCACUUGUUAGGGUGGCUUGACAGCCUAAAAGCCAUAGUGUGAGUAGAAGAAGCAAACGGUGCAUGGCUGUGGUAGUCCUUGUUACAACUUACAAGUGCGUUUGCUUGCUCACUGAGUUAUUUACACUUGCAUCUUGUACCAGUAUACAUACAUAUACAUAAACACACGCACACACACGCGCGCGCACACACACACACACGCACAAAUGCUUGUGUCUAGCUACUUCACUACACCCCCUAAUUAGAAGCCUUUAAAUUCGUGCUGAUUAAUUUGAAAGCAUGUGUGUACAUGAAAUUCAUGUUCCAUACUUAGUCAAAUUCCGGCCGCAAAAGGCCCGAGAAUGUGUGAUGCUCCGAAUAUAUAUAUAUANCUAGGUACUCCAAAUACUCUAGAUCAAGUUUAACAGAGCCGAUCGACGAUUCGAAAGUCGUAACAUCGAAAACGAGCUGGAAGCACGGAAGGCUCCGUGCUUCCGAUAGCAUAGUAGCCUCACUCUAUAUAUAUAUAUAUAUAUAUAUAUAUAUAUAGAGUAUAGAAGGGGCAAAAGAUUAAAGACCCGAAGGUCAAUAAUGAAAUGAAAUAAUUUUUGAGUAAACAUGAAAUGAAAUAAUUAUUCUCUACACUGAGCAUCCUUUUAUAUUAAUGAUAUGAAAUAUCUAUUAUUUUUUAAAAGUUUACGCUGUAAUAAAAGAACAAAUUUUUAGUAUUUUAUAUUUACGAUCUCAUGUUUUGAUAUUAUAUUAAUAAAAAAAAAGUAUAAUUAUACAAAUCACCCUGCACUUUUUCACUUAUUUCAAAUAUCUUUUUAAAUAAAAAAUUUAAACAAUAUUAACUGUGCAUUCUAGUUUAAUUUGUCUCAAAUACUUCCCUCCCCUAAAAUUUUUUAUUUAUUUUAACGGUGGUGUGUUGAUAGCACAUUUUCAAGCCCAUUCAAUCCCUUUCAAACCCACCUUUUAGUACCGAGACUCAAUGGCAGCGUUUGGUUAGGGGAUAGGAGUAGAUAUAGACCCUUAUCCCCCCUUUAUAUCCAAACGCUAAUUUUUUAUUCGAGAAUAGUAAUUCUCGGUUAUUCCCACCAACACUUCAGUUUCUAUAUAAAACUAUCUAAAAUUGUUCUUAUUUCCGGGAACAACCUAAUUUUCAUCUAAAUAUUAUUUUUCUUAUCCCCAUACUUGUACCUAUUCCUGUAAUAGUCAGUUCUCGCUUAUAUCCGAACCAAACGCUACCAAUAGCAAUCACGAAAAAACAUUCACAUGAGAAAUUCUCUUCAUCUCGUACGAGAAUUCGAAUGUUUUUAAUGUCAAGUCACCUUCCGCGUAUCACAUCCAUUAAUAUUUCCGUAAAAAGUUAAUGAAAUUUGGCAAUUUUUUUUAUAAUUUGCCAAAAAAAAUUUCAUAACUUCUUUCUUGCCUAUCAUAGAGGGAAGUUACACUUUAUAUGCAGCAGAUCUAAAUUU